rnacentral:lncRNA from 1 species
GAAAUAACAUUUCCCUGAUGGUACCCAAAGGUUAGAGCUCCCCGUGUCGAAAAUCACUGUGAACUUCUGUGGUGGAGUACCGAUAGCAAUCUCACCAUAGUACUGAGCAUCCAAGUAGUUCUUCAACGCAACGAUGUCAGCAUCUCCAGCAUUCUUGUCGUUUGAACGGAACUCUUUUAAGGAAGAUCGAAAGGCUUUUUCUUGCUUGGAACCAAAGCGUGUGGCAAGUCGAUUGGUAGGAUCCAACUUCAGUUUUUUCAGGCCAACUCUUAAUGUUCCGUCAUUGCUCUCAGAAGAAGCGGAGAAAAACACCAAGAAGGACACAAAGAGUGAAGUAACCGAGUAUGCACCCAUCUUUGACCUAUGAAUUAGUUGACAUCAAUUGAUAGAAAAAAAACAUUAGUUGACAUCAAUAGACAAAAAGACUCAAUUUAAUUAGAUCAACGAGCUAAAAUAAAUUACGAGUUAAAAUGAACAUGCAACUCAACUAUCAACCCUAUUUACAGAAGAAAAAAUAGUUAAUGACAAGUGUGUAGUUUAAACAAGUAAAAAACACACAGGAUUUUGUAAAAUGAAAGAGAACCUUUUUAAUUGAAGGGAUUAUGAUAUGAAAGGGACUUUAGACAUCAAUGAUUUCUUAUAGCUGAUCUCGUCUCCAUUAUAAGAAAAAGAUCCUCAGAAAAUCGUAAAUCAACCACAAAUCAGUAACAAAACUAGACAUUUUAAUUAAUUAAUCAAAGCAAAUAACCUGAGGACAACAAAAUCAAGAAUCUUUCAUUACAAAACAAGAAAAAAGACUGCAUCAGCAAAAAAAAAAAAAAGAAGAAAAAAGUUGUCAAAACGAAGGAGACGACGGAGGAAUCUACGACGGUCAUGCCUAUAAAUUACCUCUUGGAAGCUGCAGCGGCUGUAGGGUCUGAACGGAGCAAAUGUGCUCCGACAUCGGAGACUCCACCGUCAGAGGAGGAGGAAGAAGAAUCAAAUGAUGAAGAGAAAGAACCGGAUAACGGCGAUGAAGAUGGCGAUGUGCAUGCGGGGGUGAAUGAUGAAGAGAAAUAAGAGGGUUCCGAUAAAGAAACUGAAGGGGACGCGACUGGUUCUGAUGAAGAAGAAAAUGAUGGUGAGGCGGAUGGCUCUGAUGAGGGAGACGACGAAGAGGAGCCUGAAAGCGAGGAUGUUGCCUCGGAUGAGGAGAAUGAAGUUGAGACUAAUGCCUCUGUGGAAACAUUCCUGGAAAUAGCGAGGCAGAUUUAGUAGAUGAGGAUGGAAAUAAGGGUUUAGAAGAUGGAAACAAGGAUGGAAACAUCGAGGAGGAAUCAGUAGAUGUCGAAGAAGAGAAAGGGCAGGAAGAGGUAAGAAUUUAGGAUAGGAUUAAGGUUUCCUUAGUAAUUUGGUUUGAAUGUUAAUGUUUCGGUGAAGGAAAACUAGGAUUUAUGGGUAUAAUUGGUCGUAAUACUAGAACAACUAGGUGAAACAAUGUGAAAUGGUAAAAUUAGUAAUAACUAAGUAUACUAGGAAUACUUGAAUAACUUAGUAAAACUAUUUUGGAAAAACUUGUAUAACUAUGUACAACUAAAUGUUACUUGCAGGAAAUCGAGGCUACUGAGGCAAUCAAGACAAGUACGAUUUUCUUCUAUGAAUCGGAGUACAAGAAACAGAUAAAGUUAGGUACAAGGUGUAUGAUAGUUGACGUUAUCGAGAUGCUUUUGUCUCUGGAUUCGCCGGCAAGUGAUGCGGAGAGGAGGUGGUUUGAGGAGCAUCCACAAUUCUGUCACUUGUUCCACAAGAAACUGGAUGCAGAUGCACAAGAAAAUUUUAAGAAGAACAAGAAGAGGAGCUCGAACCACAAGUUUCAUGGAAUGUGGAUGUUGUUACUGCGUACUGUCGAUGUCUCGAAGAGGAGAGAAGUGUGGUUCAUUGUCAAUGGUGUUCCCAUCCGUUAUGGGCUGAGGGAACACACAUUGAUACCAGGCCUAAACUGCCGCAACUAUCCUCUCGGUUACAAGGAGUUUGGUAAUAAGAAGUUUGUGAAGCGUCAUUUCAAGGGGGGAGAAUUAAUAAGGUUGGAGGAUGUGAAAGCAAAGCUGUUGGGAAUGAGAGCUCAUAAAGACAGGCUGAAGAUGAUGGUUCUCUUCUUUUUAGGAAGUGUUGUUUGCGCGCAAACGAAAGUUGGUGAAGGAGCCCAUGAUGUAUUGGAUUUUUUUCAAAGAGCGGUGGAUGAUCUUGGAUACUGCAAGACGUUUCCAUGGGGGAAGUACUCCUUUGAUUAUAUGGUUAAGGAGAUCUCUCACACAAUGGAUCAUUUUGGAGAAUUUGUGAAAGAGAAGACGUUAUGGCCACUUCAAGGUUUCUGUCUUCCACUAGAGGUAAGUAAAUAGAAGUUUAGAACAUUAUCAAUUUUUUUAUUAUUGUUUUGUUAAGUUUUAUAAAAUGUUGGAUUUGUAGCUUCUUGCUUUCGAGGCAAUUCCUCAACUGGGAAAGAGGUUUAGACAACCGGUUGAAGGAGCUGAUCCAGAGUGUCUGAGGAUGUGCCAGUCCACGUUCAAAAAGACAGAAAUGAAAGGGUUUCCUCUUGCAAGUGUUAAUCAAGAACUAGAUAGGGUAAAGGUAAGUGUUUCCUUCUUCGCCCUGCAAAUUUUAUUUGUAAUUGCCAUAUUAGGUAGGUAAAACAUGGGAAAAUUUGGUAAAACUGUAUGCGUAAAACAAUAAAAAACCUAAGAAAACUAUAUAGAACUGCGAUACUUUGGUAAAAAUGUAUGCGUAAAACAAUGGAAACUUAAGAAAACUAUAUAGAACUAGGAUGCUUUAGUAAACUUUUUUCUUUUUGUUGUUAGCCGCAUGAUAUUGACAGCAUCCUUCCUACCAGGAAUGAAGAAGAAAAAGUUCUUUUGGAUGCUCUCACGGAAGAGGAUGACGAUGCUGAUGAGCCUGGUAUUGCUAUGGACAGCUGGGUUAAGCGUAUUAACGAAAGAUAUUCUAUCUUUUUUGAAGACAUGUAUGAAGAUGACAUCGAAGCUCGAAAAGAAAAUGCAGAACAUGCAGUCCUUAAAGACAUUGCGCUAGUGGAAGAAGUGGCAGAACAGAAGAAGAUGUUGGAGGAUUUGAUCAAGAAAGUGGAAAGUCUUGGAAAUCAGCUAGAGAGCGUGUUGAAGACACUGGACAAGUUUGAGGAAAGAUUGGGCCCGCUUGAGUCGUUUGGGAAGGAAGCGCAUAAGGGAUUGAAAAAGGGAUCGAAGAAGAAGGGAUCGAAGAAGAAGUGACGUAGUUGGUGUUUCAUCUCGGAUUAUGUAUUUUAAGAACAUGAAUGUUGUUGGUUGCAAAAACUCUAUUCUAGGAACCUUAAUGCUGUUGCUUGCAAAACCCUGUUUUGGAACCUUAAUGUUGCUUAUCUAUUUCCAUUUUAUGUUUCUGUUUUAGAGUAGGAAAUUAACAACAAUGCACAAGUCUUGAACAAGAAACAACUUACGAACAGCUCAAGAGUAAGAGUAAGAGGAAGAUCACAGAUUAAAGAUAAGGAAUUAUGGAGUUUUACAAGUCUUACACAAGGAACAACCACAAAAUAAAGAAGACUUGUAAGAUCAGCCGAAAUAACAAACAAUAAAUUGUUCCCAACAACAAACUGGAUCCGAAUCAGACAUGAACAACAACAUUACUAACGACAUUACUUUAAGAUUCGAACACGCUUGAGCUGAUCCUUGAGCUCAGCGAUCUCUGCAGCCAUUUCAUCAACACGUGUUAGUAAGCCCUUAACCUUAUCAUGGAUCGCGAAGACCCAAGGUUGACGAAAGUGGAGUCCAUCAUCCUGCAAAUAGAACCCGAUUCAUACAUAAGAAAAUUAACACAAUCAUCACAUGAUUCAAAUCAAAACUCUAAUAUAUGAAAAAUACCUCAAAGUUGUCGCAGAUGAAGUAUUUCCUUCCCCGCAGAGUAUCUUGAUGAAUGUCUUGAUGAUACAAUCCAACAUUGGUAUUAAUGCCCACCUCCUUGCCUCUCAAAACACGAUGUUCAUUGAUUCCACACUGUUGCUUGUGUCCAAGUUGUACCUGUCACGUGGAAAAAAAACUCUUGCCCAUUUGUCUUUUUCAGUUUUCUCCUCCACAUACUUCCAAGCCGAAGGAUUUCUUCUUUUAAACGAUUCGUAGGCAGAGUCCAAGUCAGCCAUGGUGUAAUAUCUUCCCAAUUCCAUGAAUCUAUGCCCGACUACAUCUUUGUUGACAUUACAAGCAUGCCCUUUCACAUUUUCUUUAAAAUGCCAUAAACAAUGGUCAUUGUGAGCCUGUGGAUACACGUUUGCUGCUGCAAAGAUUAGGCUUUGAUUUCUACCAGUCAUGAAAACCAGUUCAGAAGAGUCUGAUAUAGCUAUCUUAAGCAUCUCGAAAAACCAAGUCCAGCUAGCAUGAUUCUCUCCAUCUAGUACUACCAACGCUAGUGGAUAAUGGUGACGAUUUGGAUCUUGAGCUUUGGCAAAAACUAGAACACUUCCAUAUCCGUUCUUCAGCAAUAACGCAUCCACAACUAUCACUUUCCUCAUGACUGCAAAACCCUCAAUGCAAGCUCCCAAGGCUAUGAAGAGGUAUUUGAAUUUACCUACCUCAUUCAAUUUCACAUCGGUUGUUGUUCCCGGAUUCACUUGCUUUAACAUGUACAAAUAGCUAUACAUCAUCUUGUAGCUUAUCUUCCGGAUUACCAUGUUGAUCACAAACCGCCAGAUUCUUUCCGCGCAACGCUGUCGAGUAUGAUAUCAUUACCCCAAGUUUGAACUUAACAAGACCCUUAAUAACCUUCGGACUUGGGGACUUGGAGUUUCCAAACCUCUCGGGAAUUCCCCAUUCAAAAAGGCUGACACUAGUUCUGCUGACCCUUUUCGCUUAUCGUUGCUGUCACUUUGACUAGUCUGAGAGCAUGUAUGCUUAUUCCUGUAGCUCCUAAUCGAAAAAAUGUAUGUCCUGAGGAAUCUUUGCAGCUCGUAAUCCCCAUUUACAGCUAGCUUGCGAACAUCCAAUCACCAAUCGUCUACGAUCAGACUUUUUGGUGAAAUAAUGAUAGCAUUCACUAAAAGCAGCUCUAUCGACGAUCUCCUGAAUUACGCUCUUACAUGGAAAUUCGUCAUGCUUACACAGACUCAAACCAUCACCCCAUUCCUUUAUAUACUUAGUCGAUUUUAUGGCUGGUGGUUGUUCAACAAACUUAUCAGCGGUUGGAACAGCGGUAUCUGUCUCUGCAGUAGUGUUAGUGUCUGCAGUGUUAUCAGCCUCCAUAACAGUAUCCGUCUCCAUAGUGGCAUCCGUCUCCCCAGUGGCAUCCGUCUCCACAGUGGCAUCAUCAUUAUUCCCACCCUCUAUCGCCUCGUUAUUUCCCUGCUUGUAUUCUACGUACAAAGUUAUGGCUUUAGCUCCAAUUUCAUCCUCCAAUGCCUGCAACUCUUACCCACGAGAGUUUAUCUACAGGUCCCGGUUCCACUAUUGGUUUCAUUGUUUCUAAUAUUUGUCCCGAUCUUCCACUACUCUUCACAACCAAAAGACUUCUUCGGUUGUCUUUAUCCAUGCCGGUUAGGUAAACAAAAAGAUCUUCAUCAUCAACAAUAUUUAAAGGUGUCUCACAUCCUACCACCAGCGGCAUGUAGCUCAAUUCCAGUUAUUCCUUGCUUUCAACCAACCCAAGCUUCUUAUACAUCCUCUCUUCUAUCAUUGACAAAGUCGUACCCCCCACUGAUGUCUUCAGGGUUAUACUAAACAUCCGGUCUUUGAAUUUAAAAUGUACGCUGACAUGAUUGCUCAUUGUAUCCUGCCAAAAGAAAUGAACAAACUCAACAAACUGACUAGAGUUAUCUACAGUUCUACCAGUUGUUCCGAGUUAUUCCAAGUUAACUAUAGUUCUACCACUUGUUCAGAGUUUUCCCAAGUUAUCCACAGUUCAAUCAACAAAAAAUUGAAUUACGUAUCGGGUGUGAACCGAUCUAGACCCUUGCCAAUACACUCCCAUUCAACCACUGAAAUGCAUUUUGUACCACUUUACUAUACUGAUUCAACCACUGAAAUGCAUUUUGUACCACUUUACUAUACUGAUUGACCCAGACACGAAACAAUGCCAUUGUGCAUUACUCCUAAAUCGAAUCACAAUUCAAUUACGAUGAAAGCCCGAGGCGGAGACCACAACUUACCGGCUUCGACGGAACGCUAGACGUCCUAAUUUGCUUUCCCAUAUUUUUGGAUACCCUAAUUUGCAACUCUUGAAUCCUUGUCCCCAGAUCGCAAAUCUCAUCCAAAUAUUGACACACCAUAAAACCCCAAACAUAAUCCCUAACUUUCUUCGCUUUGAUUCAGUAUUGUAUCGACAAAUAAUAUAGAUUGUUUUUUAGGCUUUAAUUAUUUAGUUGAAAGAGAUAACAAAAACGGCAAUAUAUAGUUUGUUGGAAUAAAAAGAUUUUGUGGAAAAUAAAGAUAAUUAAAAGUAUAGGUUUUAAUUAAAGCAAUGGCAUGGCUCCGUAAAUAUUAUUAAAACAAAAAGGCACUUAAAAAAAGAGUCAUCUGUUUUAAAAGUAUUGAUGUAUAGAUAUAGUACUUUACUUAUUGGGUAGAUGACCUUAAGAGUUAGAUAUAUGAUGUCUUUUGCAGAAGGAAAAGUAUCUCCAAAGCUUUAACAUGUCUUCCUUUUUUAAUGGCAAACACCAAAGCUAUACACAUCUUAUUAACUUAUAAGAUAAAAAAAAGUAGAGCAUAAAUCAAAUUCUUAAACAGCUUUGAUCAUAACUAGCUUCAGGAUUAAAAGUAGAUAAAACAACUUAUCACCGGAUGAAGAACAGAAACACUUAACUUAGCAUCGGAAUAUUUACAGAAGCAGAGAUUUUAACACAAGGCAGAUGAGAAGGGAGAGAGUUUAACUCAAGUCAACAAGUGCAAAUAGGUUUCACAUCACAACACACAACAAAAUAUUUACAGAAACAGAGUUUAACACAAGUCAGAUGAGAAGGGAGAUAGUUUAACACAAGUCGGCAAGUGCAAAGAGGUUUCACAUCACAACACACAACAAAAGCUUUCAUACAAACACAUAACAAAAGAAACCGAACCGAGUUUGUUAUUUGUUUACGCAGCUUCUGCGAAGCCAACCUGCUCGUUUCCAAAGUGAAAGACAGUGUGGUAUCUCCCCAUAAACACAUCUCCCAGUAUCCUAGUACAAAAGUCAAGAAUCAAGAUUUAGAUGAAUCUCACACUCGCAGUGUUAAGAUUUAGUUGAUAUUUGUUUGCAUUUCCAUUUAGAAUUAAGGUAUGUUUUUUUCCACAACCAAAAACAUUUUAAACAAAACUUAUUUUGUUAGUUGUAAAUGUAAACGCCAAAUGAAUCCAUAAAUCAUAUUUGAAACAAUCAAAAGCCUAGAUGAAUGUACUUGAGAAGUAAUAAUUGAGAAGGAAAUACUGCUCAAGUAUUAUUUUUUUAUGCCUAGAGAGUUUACCAGAGAGGUCCACGAGGUGGAGGCAAGUCAAGCGCGGUAAAUCCACUGAUGCAUUGUGCCACUGGUCCUUCUCCAAUCUUCAGUACGUACUAUUAAUCCCACAAACGCCAUCAGCAAGAUAUGUUCAGAAUGCUACAAAGGCUCAUCAAGUCUCAAACAUAAAUGUACUCAAACAAGUACCUCUUCUGGAGCAAGAUCAAAGACUUUGCCUCCAAUGGUGAAUGAAACAGUAGGCAUUUUAGAGAGUUGUGAGCAGUCAACUGCAGACUCUCCAUUAGGACUCGGCAUGCGUUCGCAUAUCUGAGGAUUUUUAAGGAAUUCUAGGAUGAGAACAAAGAAGAAUUCCACUGCUAUUUUUCAAGAAACACAAUAUAAAUUGUUAUUGUGAUAGACACUUGUUCUUCUUACAUCAUUAAUGUAGUUCACUAUACGCUUUUGAGUCAUGUUCUGCAUUAACUGGCUCUGUAUCCACACAACUGCCAUUUCACAUGGAGCACAACCAGCAUCUCGGAGACCACUAGAUGAUUUUGUGCUUUCCUUGUCCACCACUGACUCAAUCCCCAUACUAAACAUAACACAAUAACACUCAAUAAAUACAAGAAGACUGCGAAAGCGUGUGUAUAUUAUUGUUAUGUUUAUAGAUAUAGGGAUUUUACCUGACCCCAUGGGUGCCAUCGAAUGUGCAAAGACCAAUCUGUGAGCAGAUAUGCUUUGGUUGAGCCUGAAAGUAGAAAAAAGAGUUUUAUAUGUAGAAUCCUGAUAUGCGUUCUCGACGAUUCUCUGAGUUCAUCUUUUACCAAGUUAAUUAUAUUCUUACCUUAGCCAAAAGUAAAUCCAAAAUGGAUUGUCCAUACUGAUCAACAACAGUUUUGCAUUGCUGGCUAACAACUCCAGAUGCUCCUAUAGCUUUAUUUAUCAUGGCAAUCACAGCCUAGCAAAACCAAAAACAAAAAGAUCAAGCAUAUAUACCAACAAACUUAAAAUUUUAUAAGACCCUCGAUGAUUGUUGAUUACUGUUGGCCCUGCAAGUAACGAUGUUCCAGAAUCUGCUAUUGCAGAACAACCAUUUUCACAGUAUCCUGUUACAAAAGAGAAUCAUGUUUCAAUAACUAAUAUGGAUGAAUGUAACACGAAUACACGAUAUGUAACUAAUACACGCACCAGUAGAUUUGCCGGCAAUGAGAACCUCACCCAUAUCAAACUAUUACCAAAAUAAUAACUUAAAUGAGACGUGACUAAUAAAAAUUCAUGGCAAAUCAAGAACACAAUGAACAAACCUGCCAGUAACCCCUUCGUGUAACAGGAACAUAUGUGUGUUCUCCCUUAAAGUGCUUUGGAUCAACACCGCCAAAUACAAGUUCACCGCCUUCUUCACUCUUUGUGUCACGGUUAAGCCAAAAUGAAAACACUGGUUUCUUGAUAAGACCUUGCUUGAGCAUAUUGUACCUGGAACAAACCUGCCAGUAACCCCUUCGUGUAACAGGAACAUAUGUGUGUUCUCCCUUAAAGUGCUUUGGAUCAACACCGCCAAAUAUAAGUUCACCGCCUUCUUCACUCUUUGUGUCACGGUUAAGCCAAAAUGAAAACACUGGUUUCUUGAUAAGACCUUGCUUGAGCAUAUUGUACCUGUAAAAAACAUAAAACUGUUGUCACUAAUGGGGUGUGUGUAAGUAAGUAAGUAACCACAAUCCAAAAUAGUGCACGCAUACCAAACAGGAGUGGCGUUUCCAACAGAGAUCUCUUGGAAUCCAAGACCAAGAAGACCAUCAAACUUAGCCACCAAGAAAGUUAAACCAGGCUCACUGGUUGCCUCAAUAAACUCCUAAACAACAUAGGCAAUAUGCAGAAAGUAAAGUCAAAUCGAUAGAAAAAAUAUGAGCAUUAAAAGAAGUGUAGGACAUAUAAUUCACCUGAUUUUUGACAACUAAGUCACCAACCGUGACAGCAUCAUAACUGAAGAAACCAGAGAUGGAUCCAGAUCCGUAAUGGAUUGCUGCACGUUUUCCUGGAAUAUACAAUUUUAGAGCUUAUCAACAUCAAUUAUUAAUGUAGGGUUAAGUAGCACAAAACGAAAGAAUCAAAAGAGAAAACGUACCACUCUCCUUGUAAGUGCUUGACCGCGAGGACUUGUACUUGGAAUGAAAGAAACAAGACAGCUAGAUAAAGUAAACAACACAAUAAGUUUUCUCUUAAACUAAUCACAUUUAACAAUUGUAAACUAAAUGCUAAAAUAAAAGCUUACCGAGAAAUAACAUUUCCCUGAUGGUACCCAAAGGUUAGAGCUCCCCGUGUCGAAAAUCACUGUGAACUUCUGUGGUGGAGUACCGAUAGCAAUCUCACCAUAGUACUGAGCAUCCAAGUAGUUCUUCAACGCAACGAUGUCAGCAUCUCCAGCAUUCUUGUCGUUUGAACGGAACUCUUUUAAGGAAGAUCGAAAGGCUUUUUCUUGCUUGGAACCAAAGCGUGUGGCAAGUCGAUUGGUAGGAUCCAACUUCAGUUUUUUCAGGCCAACUCUUAAUGUUCCGUCAUUGCUCUCAGAAGAAGCGGAGAAAAACACCAAGAAGGACACAAAGAGUGAAGUAACCGAGUAUGCACCCAUCUUUGACCUAUGAAUUAGUUGACAUCAAUUGAUAGAAAAAAAACAUUAGUUGACAUCAAUAGACAAAAAGACUCAAUUUAAUUAGAUCAACGAGCUAAAAUAAAUUACGAGUUAAAAUGAACAUGCAACUCAACUAUCAACCCUAUUUACAGAAGAAAAAAUAGUUAAUGACAAGUGUGUAGUUUAAACAAGUAAAAAACACACAGGAUUUUGUAAAAUGAAAGAGAACCUUUUUAAUUGAAGGGAUUAUGAUAUGAAAGGGACUUUAGACAUCAAUGAUUUCUUAUAGCUGAUCUCGUCUCCAUUAUAAGAAAAAGAUCCUCAGAAAAUCGUAAAUCAACCACAAAUCAGUAACAAAACUAGACAUUUUAAUUAAUUAAUCAAAGCAAAUAACCUGAGGACAACAAAAUCAAGAAUCUUUCAUUACAAAACAAGAAAAAAGACUGCAUCAGCAAAAAAAAAAAAACGGGGAUCUAUCACCUUAGAAAACAACACUAUGGUUGCAGAAUCAAACAAACCUUUAAGCUCCAAACACAUAACCAAAUAAGACGACAAGUACAUCACAAAACAGACAUGCAAAACAGCCCAACAUUCAAGAAACAAAUAUACAAGAGAAUAUUAUCAUGGUUCAUGCAAACCACAAUCACUCGAAUCAAAGAACAUGGAAAAGAAAAAGAAAACAAUAGUAUCACAUUGCCAGUCUUGAGACAACACUCGGAUUUUAUAGUCAGACCUGAAUUUAGAAAACGAGAAAUGGUAAUGAGAUUAAUAUAACUCAGAACUGACGAGAGCGUUAAGCACUCACCAGAGGCUUCAGGAGAUUUCUCAGAAUCAUGUGAGACUAAAAAAUAAACAGUUUCAAUUAUCGAAGAAAAGAUUGCUAAUAUGCCGCCACGACAUGCACAGCGGGUCCCACAAAAAAUAAGCAACUAAAUAUUUUUCAAUUUUGGCCGUUGGAUCUAUCAGAUUAAAGAUUUUACCGUUGAUGGUGUAAUAACUAAUAAGCAAUGGUCAACAACUUUGUUUGUAGUGUCAAGAUCUGGCCUGGCCCGGGCGUUUUUACCCCAACUCAAAAUACCUAUCUAAACCCAAAAAUCAGAUCCAAACUGUUAUACAAAAUAUUCGAACGGGAUUUAUGCGCUUAGUACUUUGGAGUUUGGUUAUAACCCAAACCGAACCGAAAUUCACACUAGAAUCUGAAGAUAUCCGAAACUAGUUAAAUAUGUUAAUGUUUCUAUAUAUGUUAAGGUGAUUUAGAUAUUUUAGAUUAUUCAAAAUAUUUUUAUAGUUUGUUUUAUUUGUUAUUUUGAAUAUUUUUAGUUAAUUUGGAUAGUUUAACUAAUUUUUAAAUAAAUUUGUGAAUAAUUUCUAUAUUUUUUUAAAAAAAAUUAUCAAUUUUCAGGUUUUAAAAAUAUAUUUUGGACGGUUUCAAACAUUGUUUACAAUUCGAUCCGAACCGAACCCGGAAGAAACCGAACUGAACCCGACCUGAUAAUUAGUAAAAGUUGAACGAGACUUAUGAGCAUAACACUGAAAAUUCGAAUCAACCAAACCGAACCCGAACACCUAGACCUGGUCGAGAUGUUUCGAGCUUUAAUUUAUAUCCUUUCGAGUUCUUAACCGUUGGUUUAGACACUGUCAGGGGCCAAUAUAUUAUAACUUACUCGGCCCAUAAAUUUGAGAAAUAAAUGUAUAGAAAUCACGAGUUAGGACAAUCCUUCUCUUUGUAUGACACGAUAUCCAAAAUUCAAGUGUAGAGAAUCCUAUGUGUUAUCGCAUUGCUUGCCCGUAAUACACUAGUGAUAUUGACAGUGGGAGUGAUUGCAAUCGCUCAAAUUACGUACCGAGAAUUUUUGAAAAUGUAAAACUUCUUAAAGCAUAUACUUUUGUUCUUUCAAUAGCCGGCCAAAUGAUUGCAUGAUCAUCGGUCUACUCUACCUCAGUUCACCAUUUCGAACUCUAUAUCCACUUUUUUGGGAGUAUAUUUAUGUACUUUCUUAUGAUCACGUUUAAAUAGAUUAAAUAAAAAUCACUUUAUUUUCUUAAAAAUGCGGAUUACGACAAAAAAAAAAGUUUACAAAUUGUAAAACGCUUAAUUUUGUCAAUGAAAAACAUAAUCGUUUGAUUAUUCCCACUAAGGAUUUAAAACUUAAUACAAUAUAAAUAUAAAUAAAUAUAUUAAUGUUUAGAAUCUUACUAGUUAAUAUUUUAAUUGCAUUGCUUACAAAUUUUAGAUAAAAUGGUUAUUCAAUUAACUCAGGAUGGUCAUCCCUUAAUUCAUUGAUAUAUUCGCUCACCUUCAAGAAUCUAUACACAAUCCAAAAAAUAUUUCACUAUUAACCAUUUAAUUAGUGUUUGAUUUCAUACAAAAUAUUGUAAAGCAAAUAGCUAAAAAUUCCUUUUUUUUACGUCAAACGGUCAUUCUAUUACUCAAGCUUGAAGUGGACUGGGUAAUCAGACCGGAAUAGAACAACCAAUAAAAUGUAACUUUCUAUGGAAUGAUCUAGCAGUCUUAGCUAAAAAAUCUGAAACUGAUUACGCGCUCGUGGAACAUGAAUGAUGUUGAAAUAUUUUAAAAAAUAUUUUAAAGCCCCUUCAACUUAUAUUAAACUAGAAUUGAGCCCAUGCUUUGCAUGGGAAUUAUUUUGCUGACAAAUAAAAUAAAAUUUUAAUUAUAUAUAAUUAAAACCAAAAUAACAUGUAUUAUUUACCUUUGAUUUAUCAGAAGGAUAUGUGUAUAUAUAAGAAACUUUUAACACACUUAUCAUUAUUUAACCACAAACAUACUAUAAAAUGAAGUUAGAUUUGUUUAAAUAUUUGAUCUUAGUUAGCUUGUUUGAUAUAAAUAUUAGUUCAAAGCUUUCCCGUUUUUCGACUUUUUGUUGCUUUCAUUAUUUUCCUAAUUUUUUACAGUGGCCUGCAAUUAUGUUUCUUUGACUAAAUCCAUUUAGUAAUUCAUUAAGUAUGUUAAUUUACGAACAAAACUAAUACUAUAACUCUAAUAAAGAAAAUAAAAAUAGAAUGUAACAGAGAAUAGGUGAUCUUUAUGCUUAACUAAGAGUUGGUCCGUCCUACGGACGGAUGAGUUUACAUUAAAACUAUUUUCUAUUAAAAUAUAUUUUAAUUUUAUAAAAUAUUUGAAAUUUUACUUUAUACUGGAAAUAAUAAAUGUAAUAUGUUUUUUCCAAAAAUAAAUAUGUUUUUAUUCUAAAAUUACUGUAAAUUUCAUUAAAUUUUGUUGAUUUGAGUUGAAAAAACCAUUAAAAAAGUUUAUUUUGUUAGAGAACUCAAAAUUAUAAAAUUAAAAGUUUAAUGAAAAUGCAAUGAUUUCUAUUGUGCUCGAUACCAGCUAGAAAACAAAGCCGUAAGAUUCAAAUACCCAAUCAGAUGGAGAAUCAGACUUUACCAAUGUCAUACUUAAAAUUAAACAAAAUUAUAACGGAAAUGAUUGUUGCAUGCUUAUAUAUUCGAGACUGAAGAUCGAUCCAAUAAUAAUAGUACAUUAAGUACAAAGUUACAUAAGAAAAUUAAAGAUACAUUACAUGUUCAGAUGCUUUACAAUUGUGGAAAGAUGUAGACUUGUUAGCUGUUUACAUGUUCAAAGCAUAUCACUUAUCCACCACUCCCAUUUGUACCUUCUCGUUUUGAACAGCAUGUGCGCAAGCUUACACCCAUAACUUUCUUCAGUCCAUUAACUUAGCUCCAACGGCGUUGUGACUUCUGAUGCUCUGAACCCAAGUAUAAGGCUCCCGUAAGAAGGCACAUAAUCAUUCCUCGACACUCUAGAACCGAACUCCAAACCAGGAAACAUAGUCUUGUGACUCUUUUGUAUUCCGAGGAGCUCCACCCUAGGUCUUCUGGUGGAGUGCUCAUGCCUGGCACAGUCUCUCUAUGGUUAAAACUUCUCAACCUAAGCUGUUUCACCAUUCCCAUCCUCAGGUUUUGCUAUCUUGCCGGGAUAGUUGUUAUUACAUAUUGUAGCUGAGUCCUUAACAUCGUUUCAUUGAAUUUCUCUGCAAUAUUUUUCUGGUGGAUCUUCUGAGCUGAGCACCUAGGCAGCUCUUCAACAGGAUCCUCAUUGUCAUAGUGACACCAAACAUAAGCUGCUGAUAUUAACAUCAAUGUGGAAAUUCUAUCAGAUAUGAAACUUCUUUUGUCUAAAUGACCACGACUGAUGUCUUUGAUAUUGAACGACCAUCCCAUUUGUCUCUAUGUUUGCCGAGAUAUAGAGUUUGAGGCUUCAAUAAAGUAAAAACAAAAGAACCCAUUUAACAGAGAUGCCAUAGAAGUCUAAAAUAGAAUCAUGAUAAUUGGGAAAGCUUUAUGAAAAACUGAAAUAUUUUUUUCAUAAAGUGAUAUUGUGGGAGGAGCAAGAAAUACCUUUGACGCCUCAUCAUGUUAACCCAUUCUCAUGAUAUCUUCAAGCAGGAAUUGAGCAAGAUCCACCUCUUUCCGGUUUUCCCCAACUUUGAGGUCUCUUUUUCCAUCUGCAGAACAUUAAACCUUAGUUAGCAUUAACCCAAACCACAGCUAGAAAAUUCAACAUUAAAAGAAAUAUAUGAAAGCUAUUUCUGCUUAUUCACAAAAGAACAAACCUUUUGUAUCUGAGAUCUUUUGUCCUCACUUUCAUUACACAAUCUCAGUUUGAGACAGGGUCAAACUUAAUAUGCUAUGUCAGUCCAGCUGUGAAUAUACACCAAUAGUCAAGCUAUUAACACAGAGAAAAAAAAUCAGUAAAAUAUAUAAUGGUCCCUUAAUACCUUUCUUGUUGAGCAUUGCAGUCUCUAUAACUGCUUUCUGGUGUUGAAUCCUUCGAGGCCACCUUGGAGAGCUUAUCCUCGUAAUAUCAGAGAUCCAUCGUUCGUUUGCAUCAAGACCAUCGUUCGUUUGCAUCAAGACUCUAUCUGAAGAAAUCUUCUACUGAAACCUGGUAAUCAGGAUGGCAUAGCAAACCUCCUGAGGCGUUAUGCGGGAUGAGUUGGGGGAGAGGAAGAGAAUCGACAAAGGGAUUGAGACGGUGCUUAGGGUUAGGGAGGAUGAGUGAUUUUUAGAUUUUAGAGAAACGGGAUCGAGUCGAUCCGUAUCAAGAGCGGCUCAGGAUUGGGCUGCGAGAUGGUUUAAAUGGGCUGCGAAGGUAACUUAACUUUUUUUUAUUUCAAGCCCAGUCCGCGAUGACCUGGGCAGAUUGAUUGGUGGAGAAUAUUUGUGCCCAUGCCCAUGUGGCACCCCUUAGAAGCUCCAAAAAUAGCCACUUUUAUAUAGUAGUGAUGUAUGCUAGUAUACUUUAAAAUCUAUAUGAUCAUUUACCAAAAACAUAUAUAUGGUCAAGGAUAAAGAAAAAUGAUCAUGGGUAAUAUAGUGGGUUUCAUGAAACUGUUAUACGGUUGUUUAUUUAUUUUUCUAAAUUAUUAUUUGUUUGAAUUAAUUUUUCUUAAAUUUGUAAAUAUUUAUUACCUAACAUAACAUGAUUCGUCAAGUGAGACUGUGUUUUUAUACAUAAAUGAUUAAUUUUGCAGCCAUAAUUUAGCAAAUUCCGUACCAUAGUAAAUGACACCAACAAAGAUCAUUUUUUGCUUUUAAAUUAUCUUUUUAAAGUUUUUAUUUGUUUUAGUCAAAACUAAACUUAUUUUAGGCACAUUUCUAGAAAUGGAUACCACCUACAAUUAUCAUAUUUGACACUUUGAUUUUAUUUGUGUUUAUGUAUAAAUAAGUUUACAAAAAUAUAAUUCUUAAAAAAAUAUAUAUCAUAAAAAUGAAAUAAAACAUGUAUGUACAUAGUCAAUUUUUAUAUAAGCGACUUACAAAAAAAAGUAAGAUAUUAGCGUAUGCUCUUUUAUAGAAAAGGAGAUUUGUGAAAUAGUAACCAUAACAAACAAAUUGUAAAUAUCUGAUUUAUAUAAUCAUAAUUGUUGAUAGUUUUUUUUUUCUUGGUGGAAUGGCAUUGCAUCAUUUGUUAAUCAUGAUAUAUGAUUUCUUCCAAGUUACAAAACCAAAACAGUGUUUUAUAAAGUGUAACCUAAAAGAGUGAAUCAAAGAACUAAACAUACCAUCUGUUUUUUAGAUUGUGUACGGUUCUGCUUUAGUUCUAAGUUUGUUGAGAGAAAGCUUGUUUGUCUUUUGUCUUCUUCCUUCAUUGCUGGCAAAGCUCUGAUUUUCCAAACUUUUAUUGAAAAAUAAAUCUUUGAAACAGAAUAUACUCUAGUGUCAUUUUAACCUGAGAUGAACAAUUAAGAGAUUAUUAAAUGAAAAUAAGAGAAAACUGAAUCUAAAUUAAGAAUAACCAUAAACUUUUAUAGAGUUUUCUAUCAGUCGAAGAACUCAAUAGAAAGAGAACCAUGAAGCUAUGGAGAAUAAGAGAGAGGGAGAAGGAAAGCGAUUAGUGAGUAAAAUUACGAUCAAAUGUACAUAAAGUAUUAAAACAGUUUCAGACUCAUAACUCACCUUUGAAUACACGAUGCUCUUGUGUGAGAGAUAAAAUUUAGAGAAAAGUAGAUUAAUUUAUAUAGGACACCAAGAAAACGGUUUAAAGAAAUAUAAUGUGGGAUUUAUGAAAAAAAUUAGGAAUAUAGUUAGUUGAAAAUUUAGAUUGCAUAACAAUAGGAGAUGAAUUUUUUUUAAAUUGUUUUAUAAAUUUUUUCCACAUAUCAGGAUUUAAUUUGUCAUGCGACUUGCGCUUUAAUAUAUAAAGGAUAUGUAUAUUUUUUAUGCUUACUUAUGCUCGGUAGACACGUGGACGAAACUAAGGGUUGAAAAUGGAUAAAAAUUAAUGAGGCAAUCCAAUCCAUAUAUUUAAAUGAUAGAAAAAAUUAGGUACAAAUGGUUUUGGAUAAAUUGGUUAAUAGACUUAGUGGAUUUGAUUAAAAUAGUUUAGACUGUAAUGAAUAAUGAGUUAUCAUCCAUAACCAAACCAGUAAAAAUUUAUAAAAAAUAAAUCAAUUCAAAUUAAAUUAAAUUAUAAGCAAAAAAUAUUCAAACUAAAUUUCUAAACAAUUUCACUACACUAAAUUUUAUUUAUUUUCUCAUAUACCUAAAUUAAUUUUAAUAAAACAAAAUCGAAUCCAACUUCUCACUUAUUUUAUUUGUGUCAAUAACCAAUUUCUCAUAUAUAUAAAUACUAUCUUUUGCUUUUUUUUUAAUAAGCCAAGUUUAAUAUUUUUUUACCAAAACUGUAAAAAUUAAGUCUUUCCACCAAAAUUGUAAAUUAUUUUUACACCAAAAUCACAAAAUCUCGCUUUCUCGCCGAAACCGCAAAUCAUGUUUCUCGUCAAAACCAUAAAAUCAUGUUUUCCCACCAAAACCGUAAAAUUAUGUGUUUCUCACAAAAACUGCAAAAUUUUAUUUUCAGCCGAAACCAUAAAAUAAAGUAUUCCCGCCAAAGUCACAAAAUCAUAUUUUCGAGCCUAAAUUGCAAAAUCAUAUUUUCCCCAAAAUCAAAAAUUUAUGUUUUUCCACAAAAAAAAUUGAAAAAUCAUGUUUUUCCACGAAAACCGCAAAAUCUUAUUUCCCACAAAAACCACAAAAUCGUGUUUCCAGCCAAACCGUAAAAUCAUGUUUUCCGCAAAAACCACAAAAUCGUUUUUUCCAACAACCCCGUAAAUUUAAGUUUUUCUUUCAAAACCAUAAGAUCAAGUUUUCUUGCCAAAACCAGAAUAUCAUGUUUUUCAUCAAAACCGCAAAUCAUGUUUUCCAGCUAAAACCAUAAAAUCGUGUUUUCUUGCCGUAACUAUAAAACUGAGUUUUCCCGCAAAAUCGCAAAAUCGUAUUUUCCUGCCAAAACCGAAAAAUCAUGCUCAUCCACCAAAUCGUAAUAUCGAGUUUUUCCGCAAAAACAAUAAAUUUAGUUUUUCACCAAAAUCAUAAAAUCAUACUUUCGGGCCAAAACCGCAAAAUCGUGUUUGCCCGCCAAAACUGUAAAAUCGAGAUUUCCCGCUAAACCAAAAAAUCGUGUUUUCUUGUCAAAACCGCAAAAUCUCAUUUUUUUCAUAAAAACUGUAAAAUCAAGUCUUUUCCGAAAUAACUGAAAAAUCGUGUUUUCUCACCCGAUCGGUAAAAUUGUGCUUUCCGCCAAAUAGUAAAAUUGUUUUUUUUCCUGCCAAAUAGUAAAAUUGUAUUUUCCACAAAACCAUUAAACCGUGUUUUUCAAAAUCUAAUCAAUAUUUUUAUUUUCAGCCCCAAAAUUAAUAUUUUUACUAAAUAACCACUUCAAUUAUAACAUUGUUAGUUAUGGGUUAACCAUUAAGUCAUUAACCUAAAUGAGUUAUGGAUUGACUCAAUCCAUUUGUCAAAGACUGAUUUACAGUCGCCGUCAAUUUUUUUUAUAUCACUAUAAGUCACUUAUUGCUACUGAGGUAGUUUUUGUGACUAAAUACCAAACUAUUGUCAACUAACCUUAUCUUCAGUAAAAUAAAGUGACCCCACAAUUUUUAAAGUUUGUCACUUUCCUUCUCUCCCUUGAUACAAUAUAAGCAAAUUUAAUUGUUUUAACACAAAUAUAGAAAUACAAUUGCAGAAAUAAAAGGGGCUUCGAUUUGUUAAAAAAAAAAAGAAUUGAAGCUUCGAGAUUGAAACGAAUGGAUCCGUGACGGUGAGGAUGAAGCUGAUGUAAAAGAUGAUGGAGACAAAAAAAAAAAGGUCAGCAUAGAUCUCUGGAGUCCCCGCAACUGUUCCUUGUCGUUGGAGGAGCUUUGAUCUAAACACGAGUGGAGGUGCAACAGUGAGGAUGAAGCUGAGUGUACGACGUUGGAAUGAAUGGCGGUGAUCCACUGUGAUGAUUUUGGCAUGUUAGGCCAAAAAACUUAGUUCAUCAACAUAAUUUUGUGUAGGUUUAAAUGUGUGAAAUCGAUUAUUAACAAAUAUUCUACAAAUUUGAUGCAAAAACGUUAAAUCACACAAAAGUUUGUUGAUUUAAAUUGAAAAAAUAGUUGAAAACUGUGGAAAUCAUGCAGAAAACCUAAAAACUAAUUGUGAGGUAGAAGAUAAUAUAAUUACAAUUUUGCCAUUAUUGAAAAGAAAAAAACAUAAAAGGUAAUAAAAAUGAGCUCUUGGCGAUUUGAACUACGGAGUUAAUUUCUAAAAUACUCUUUUAUUACCAACAGGCUUGAUUUAUAUAUACAAUUUCAUCUAAAAUCAAGAAAAAUAUUUAAAACUAAUUUUUGAAUAUUCUUUGAUUAAUCACUGAACUUUACUAACACAUAUGUAUAGAGUAUUUUAGAUAUCACAUUUUGAUAUUAUAUGACACGGUUUUUCUGCCAAAACCGUAAAAUCGUUUUCCCUUCAAAAUCACAUUUUUGUCAAACCCGCAAAAUCACAUUUCCCCGCCUAAACUAGAAAAUAAAUCAUACGGAAGGCGUCAUAUUGUAUCUGCUAGAUGUCUGGUUAGCAAAGGACUAAUCAAAAAGGUGGGAUCAGGAUCUUCUGUUUCAGUAUAAUAUGAUCCCUGACUCCCAACCACUCGCCUGAGACCAGCAAUUAGUAACCAACAAAACUUUUACCCUGAUAUUUUAGGGGACUCUCUCAUCAAUGCCACAUCACGGAUGUGGAAUACACAGGUCAUUUGGUCUCUGGUGGAGUCACAGGAAGCUAGCAAAGAUUAUAGAAAGUAUACUGUUAAGUAGGAGUCAGAUGGUCGAUCAAGAUGGAUGGCAUUUCACAAAAACAUGGAUAAUACACAGUGAAAUCGGGUUAUCAAGUGGAAAGGGUAUAUACAGAGAGAGAGAAAAAAAGUGACAACAUAUGGACCAGAUGUUACCCCUUUAAUGACUUUUUCUUGGAAAAUACGAUGUCCACCGAAAAUAAAACACUUUCUAUGGCAUAUAGUGUCAGGAUGUAUAUCGGUAAAGAAAAAUUUUCGAUCAUGAGGUUUACAAGGGGAUAUACAUUGUGCCCGAUGUGGAGCAGCGGAAGAACUACGUCUUUUUUUUGAAUGCCCACCGGUGGUACAGGUUUGAUACUCUCACAGGUCCCAUCGAAUCCAGAUACUUUUCCAUCUCAGUCACUUUUCACAAAUAUGGAUUACCUGUAUUGAAGGGUUUCAUCACGCAUGUCUGAUCAUCAAUUUGCUAGCAUUUUGUGGUAUAUUUGGGUAGAAAAAAUAAUAAGGUUUUUAGUAAUAUAUAUAUGGAUCACAGGGAUACUCUUAAAUUGACAGAGACAAAGUUUUUGAUUUGGCUAGGGACACAGAAAAUGAUCACUCAGAGGAUUACCCAAACAAGGGAAUUGGAGGUAAUAAGUUUACCUAAUAUUCUGGGAAGAUGGUGUUUCACGGAUAGGUCAUGGAAAGAUCAUGAUAUGUUAUUUGGGACAAGGCUGGUAUAGUACACUUGAAGGUUUUGAUAGACUGAUGGGGGCAAGGAACACGAGGGACAGUCUCUUACCACUUCAUUCAGAAGUAGGAAGCGCUUGUUUGGAAAAUAUAAUGUAUGAGAAAUUUAAGGUAGUGUCACGUCAAGUUUGCAACGGAUUGUUCUCUUCUCAAUUGGUGAAGAUGGUUUUCGAACCAGAGGAAUGAUCCGAAUUUGCAAGUUACUUGGAAGACAUCAAGAUCCUGAAAGAGUGUUUUACCCACUCGGAGGUCAUUCAUAUAUCACAGACGCAGAAUACAAGGGUGGACAGUCUUGUACGCAGUGCCAGAUCACAACUGUCGUUUAUCGUUAAUAUGGAUGCAGAGUUACCGGUUUGGUUUACUUAAUCUUAGCUGAGUCUGUUUAUGUUGAUGCCAAAAGAAAAACUUGAAAAUAAAUUUAGAGUUUUCAGCCCAAACCAAAAAAAAAAUAUUAGUUAACGAUUACAAAAUUUAUUAGAUAGUCACAUGAUAAUUUAGAUUUGCUAAUGAUAAAACAUGUGAACAUGUGUACUAUUUUGCCAUCUUAUCCACGUGUACAAUGUAUCAAGUUAUCUAUGUUUCAAGGUGUAUACUUGUAUCAAGCUAUCAAUGUAUCAAGGUGUACAAUGGUUUAUGUAUUUUUGAAAACGUGUUUUGCUUUGAGUACAUAUAAGAAAGGUGUAUGACUUGUAUGUGUAGAAAAAAUAGCCAUUGAUGCUCUAGAACCUCUCAUGACAGAUCCAAGCGUUGUGCUCGGACUUCUCAAGACGGUGCUAGGUGAGGUCACGAUGUUGGGAAAGAUGAGUUGACUAGAUAAUAUUUCUGGUGAUCCAAAGAAGAGAGUCGCCGAAGUCUCUACCGUUGACGUCGUCAUCAUCACUACACCACCAUCGACCCUGCAGAUUGAGAUAUUUCAAAAGAUAAAACCAGAGAAAAUAAUUAAAAACAAUUUCUGUAGAGAAAUAAAUUAUCAAGAAUCAGAUUUAAUUUACAAAACUUGCAGAGAAGUUGGGAGGAGGAAGACGCAGAAGAAAAAGGGGAAUUUGCCAAAACUAACUCACAACUUGAUUUGAACCCCAAACCUAUAGCCAAAUAUGAAUCAAAUGCAAAACUAACUUAAAGACCUUGUGAAAUUACAGCUCAGCCCCGUGUGACCAAACAAAAAAACAUAAGUUAUUUUUACGAAUAUAACCCUAGUAAGUCGUCUGAGUCGUCUAAGAUGUUGGAAGUUGUCUGGACAACUUCAAAGUAAGUCUUCUGGUGUAGCUGAUCUUAAAAAUAAUUUAUAAAUUUUUUAAAAAAUAUUUUGAUAAGCGAAAAAUUAAAAUCAUGUAAUUAUUUUAAGUGAUAUAAAUUAAAAUAUAACAAAACUGAAUUGUUUUCAACAUAGAAGCGUGUAGGUAGUGAAUCAUGGUAAUCUUUGGUCUAGGGUUUGACAACAUAUGUUGUACUAUUAUAUGUAUUCUUAGGGUUAGAUUUUGGAAAGCUUGAAUGUUUUUUUGAAAAAUUAAUUUUUUACCUAUACGUGUUUAUUUUUGUGUAUAGUAAACACUUUUGAAGUUUAAUUUAAUUUUAUGAAGUGUUUAGUUAGUUAAUUAAGUUUAGGGGUUAUAUUUAGGGUCUUGACGACUUACAUUUCAGUCGUCUGGUGAAGAAAUUAAAACAGACAACGUUUUUGGAUACGCAGGUUUUUCAGAUCUGGAUUUGAAGUCCAGAUGACUUCCAUGAACCUAAAAUUUUUAAAAAAAAUUAUUUUUCCGUUUAAAUAAUUUAAACCAGACGACAUACUUGUAAGUCAUCUGGAAGUCUUCUAUUUUAGUUUCCCGCUAAAAAUAUUUUAAUUUCCCGCUAAAAAUAUCAAACUCUUCUGGACGACUUACAAGUAAGUCGUCUAAGAAGUCGUCUGAAUCAAAAAUAUUUAACCUAAUUGGAUUUUUUGUCUCCCUAUAUAAAGAAAAAUUUACACAUUCUCUCUCCUCCUCUCAAAUGGCUGCAACAAACAUUUUGGUAAGUUUUUAUGUAUGAUUUUUUUCAUUUGGUAACUUCUUGUUGUAUAAAGUUCUUACUUUUUUCCCAAACUAAAACUCUCCAAACCCACUCUAAUCUCUUUGACUUGAAAACACCAAACUUUAUAUGAAUUUUUCAGUUUUGUCUCAUGUAUUUCUUACUAAUCUAUCUCUUUUGCAGGUUUUUAAUCAGAUGGUACUCAUCUUCCACUAAUUUAAAGGUAGAUCUAUUAAUUUUAGAUAUGUAUUUUUGUGUGUUCUAUAAAUGUAGAUUUAUCUAAUCUUCCACUCAUUUUCUCUAUUUUUAAGUCAUUUGAACGUUUUUGGAUAUGCAGGUUUUAAAGAUCUGGAUUUGAUAUGCAGGUUUUUCAGAUCUGGAAGACUUCUGGGACGACUUACCUGUUAGUCGUCUAAAAUAUAAUGCACUUGACGACUUCCAGGAAGUCUUCCAGACUACUUCCACUUCAGUCGUCUGGACUUCCUGAAAGUCGUCUGGACUUCCUGAAAGUCGACUGGACUUCCUGGAAGUCGUCUGGACUUCCUGAAAGUCUUCUGACAAAGUUUUCUUCCAUAUCAAGUGGAGUCCAAGCUUGUCUUUGUAGAGGAAUGAUCUAUAAUAGUUUUGUUUGUGGUCUGUUUUGUGAAUUGCAUGUCUACUCUUUUAGUUGUGAAUUUUUUGUAAAUUUUUUUGUAAAAUUAGUAAUAAUGUUUUCCAAGAUGGAAAACAUGUGCUAACAAUGUGUUUACACAUUUACAAAUCAAUAAAAUAAUAGACUUCAGUAGCCUUUUUCUUAUCGUUGGAUCUCUCAUAUGCAAUAAUAAACUCCAAUGGCCUUUUUCUCAUCUUAGUAAACAAGAAUGUUGGUAGCUUCAUAUUGAUACAACAUUUUAAGAAGCAUUUUAACCCUUCUUCCAAUUCAUAACAAUAAUCAUCAUUAUUGUCUAUAACAAUAAUACUUAAGAGAUGGAAACAAACAAUAGUAACUAGUCAAAGCAUAUAACAAUUCGAGACUACUUCCAUGUAAGUCUCUGCAUUGACCAGAAGACUUCCAUGUAAGUCGUCUACAACCAGACGUACUUCAUGCNNNNNNNNNNNNNNNNNNNNNNNNNNNNNNNNNNNNNNNNNNNNNNNNNNNNNNNNNNNNNNNNNNNNNNNNNNNNNNNNNNNNNNNNNNNNNNNNNNNNNNNNNNNNNNNNNNNNNNNNNNNNNNNNNNNNNNNNNNNNNNNNNNNNNNNNNNNNNNNNNNNNNNNNNNNNNNNNNNNNNNNNNNNNNNNNNNNNNNNNNNNNNNNNNNNNNNNNNNNNNNNNNNNNNNNNNNNNNNNNNNNNNNNNNNNNNNNNNNNNNNNNNNNNNNNNNNNNNNNNNNNNNNNNNNNNNNNNNNNNNNNNNNNNNNNNNNNNNNNNNNNNNNNNNNNNNNNNNNNNNNNNNNNNNNNNNNNNNNNNNNNNNNNNNNNNNNNNNNNNNNNNNNNNNNNNNNNNNNNNNNNNNNNNNNNNNNNNNNNNNNNNNNNNNNNNNNNNNNNNNNNNNNNNNNNNNNNNNNNNNNNNNNNNNNNNNNNNNNNNNNNNNNNNNNNNNNNNNNNNNNNNNNNNNNNNNNNNNNNNNNNNNNNNNNNNNNNNNNNNNNNNNNNNNNNNNNNNNNNNNNNNNNNNNNNNNNNNNNNNNNNNNNNNNNNNNNNNNNNNNNNNNNNNNNNNNNNNNNNNNNNNNNNNNNNNNNNNNNNNNNNNNNNNNNNNNNNNNNNNNNNNNNNNNNNNNNNNNNNNNNNNNNNNNNNNNNNNNNNNNNNNNNNNNNNNNNNNNNNNNNNNNNNNNNNNNNNNNNNNNNNNNNNNNNNNNNNNNNNNNNNNNNNNNNNNNNNNNNNNNNNNNNNNNNNNNNNNNNNNNNNNNNNNNNNNNNNNNNNNNNNNNNNNNNNNNNNNNNNNNNNNNNNNNNNNNNNNNNNNNNNNNNNNNNNNNNNNNNNNNNNNNNNNNNNNNNNNNNNNNNNNNNNNNNNNNNNNNNNNNNNNNNNNNNNNNNNNNNNNNNNNNNNNNNNNNNNNNNNNNNNNNNNNNNNNNNNNNNNNNNNNNNNNNNNNNNNNNNNNNNCUCCACAGACUCUGUGUUCAUGUCCAGGUUAUAAUCUUCUUGAGCCAUUGCAACAAGAUCAGCAUGUGUCGAACCUUCACUCAAAAAUAACAUUCUCGCUCCUUUGAAAUGAUCAACCACAAAAUGCCAAUAUCCAUCUUUCAACAACCAUUCUCCAUACACUGCAUGUAACUGACGCAUCAUAUGAAAAAGUCAAAAUAAAACACAUUAGCAAACUUAGAACAAAGAAAAUGAAAGUUUAUUAAAGAUCGAAGCGGACGACUUCAAUCUAAGUCCUCCUGACGACUAAAAUGUACGUCGUAUGGUCAACGCAGAGGUUAUUUUUGCAAUUGACUUUGAAAUCUGUUAUUUCAGACGACUGAAAAUAAGUCGUCUAUUUUUGUUUGGUUAAAAAAAACUCCAAAAAAGCUAGACGACUUACAUUUCAGUCGUCAUAGGUUAGUUUUGCAUUUGACUGGAUUAUUUCAGAAGUUUGACUUUCCUGGACGACUUACAUUUCAGUCGUCUCGUCAAAAUUAAAAUAUCAAGAUUUUUUUAAAACUAGACGACUUACAAUUAAGUCGUCAUAGGUUAGUUUUGCAAUUGAAAAAAAAAACUUCAAUAUUUAAUUAUAUAUAGACGACUUACAAUUCAGUUGUCCGUCAGACGACUUACUUGUAAGUCGUCCAGGAUUUACGAGGUUUGACCAGAAUCUCGGAAUAAAAUCAUGGACGACUUACAUGUAAGUCGUCGGGUGGAUGACUGAAUUGUAAGUCGUCCGGGUAUAAUUAAAUAUUGAAUUUUUUUUUUUCAAUUGCAAAACUAACCUAUAACGACUUAAUUGUAAGUCGUAUAAUGUUAAUAAAAUAUUGAUAUUUCAAUUUUCACCAGACGACUGAAAUGUAAGUCGUCCGGGAAAGUCAAACUUCUGAAAUAAUCAAGUCAAAUGCAAAACUGACCUAUGACCACUGAAAUGUAAGUCGUCUAGGUUCUUUGGAGAUUUUUUUGUAACCAAACAAAAUCAGACGACUUAACUUUCAGUCGUUUCAGAAAACAGAUUUCAAAGUCAAUUGCAAAAAUAACAUCUGCGUUGACCAGAUGACUUCCAGGUAAGUCGUCUACUGCCAGACGAAUUCCCAUGCACAUGUAAGUCGUAUGACGAACAUAUCUGGAAAAAAAUUCGAUUUCAUACCUUAAAUUGGUGAGAUAACUUCCUUAGCAUACAUAAGGCUUCUCCAAGCACACAGAAUCUCAAACGAAAGUGACCCAUCCAUAAUCGUUAGCGUCUAUGACUUUAUGAACCAUAAAAAAUGUAAAAUCAAAAUCUUGGGUUUUUUUAGCUCAAUGUGGAGAGAAAGUGAGAGAUAUGUUGUGUUUAGUUCAUAAGAAUGGAAAAAGAAGAAGAGUAACUCAAUUUUGGGAACAUUAAGAGCUUCAAAUUGGUUGUUCAUGGUGGUUAGGGUAUUGAUGACAAUGGUAAUCUUGUAAUUACUUGAAGAUGAUGAGGGUAAUAUUUAAUUAUAUAUAGACGACUUACAAUUCAGUUGUCCGUCAGACGACUUACUUGUAAGUCGUCCAGGAUUUACGAGGUUUGACCAGAAUCUCGGAAUAAAAUCAUGGACGACUUACAUGUAAGUCGUCGGGUGGAUGACUGAAUUGUAAGUCGUCCGGGUAUAAUUAAAUAUUGAAUUUUUUUUUUUCAAUUGCAAAACUAACCUAUAACGACUUAAUUGUAAGUCGUAUAAUGUUAAUAAAAUAUUGAUAUUUCAAUUUUCACCAGACGACUGAAAUGUAAGUCGUCCGGGAAAGUCAAACUUCUGAAAUAAUCAAGUCAAAUGCAAAACUGACCUAUGACCACUGAAAUGUAAGUCGUCUAGGUUCUUUGGAGAUUUUUUUGUAACCAAACAAAAUCAGACGACUUAACUUUCAGUCGUUUCAGAAAACAGAUUUCAAAGUCAAUUGCAAAAAUAACUUUUUUUUGACGUCGAAAGGCCAUUCUAUUACUCAAGCUAGAGGUGGUCUGGGUAACCAGACCGGAAUAGAACAACCAAUAAAAAGUAACUCCCUAUGGAAGGAUCUCCCAGUUUUAGCUAAGAAAUCUGAAGUCUGAUUGCGCGCUCUUGGUACAUGAGUGAUGCUGAAGUCCGGGAAGCAUACUUGAAACGUUCCUAUCCUCUCCAGUUCCGUAGCAAAGCUUGGCCAAGCAUGAGGUUCCUUUAUCAUUGCGAUCAGGUCCUUACAGUCUGUCCCAAAGCUCUGACAUGUCGAGUGUUGAAGCAUAUUCUCCAUUGCCCAUCGCAGUGCUUCUAGUUCCGAGUGCAGGGCUGAUUCGUGUCGAGUGAUAUUUCUGGUCCCCAUAAGCUGUAUGUUCCCUCCACUGUCCAUCCAAACCCAUCCACAUCCACUAAAGUGAGCAGCAGGUGUCCAAGAUCCAUCUAACAAGCAAAUAUUACUCAAGCUUAAGACUUGAGGUUCCUCGGUGAUGUUUUCCUGCAUCACAGGUUGUGUCACUUCAUUCGCAUCAAACCAGGCUUGGCAUUCACUUUCUGCAUAUCUAACCAGCUCUAAUGGGUCUCUGUCUAUCCCCCUGAAAAGUUUGUCAUUCCUAGCCUUCCAGAUAUACCAGAUUAUCCAGGGAUAAGGAUCCCUGUCUUGUUCUGGCUCAAUGAUGUCAUUUUUCCUCCAGAAUAGGUAAUCCAUGUUUGUGUAGACGCUUGAUACUGGGAACAAAUUUGGACUUGUUGGAGUUGAUGAUAAUGACCAGGCCUGCAGAGCUGGUGGACAUUCAAAGAUGGCAUGGGUUACUGAUUCUUCAGGUUCUCCGCAUCUUGGGCAGUAGUUAUCACACCUCAUGUUUCGUCUUGCUAAGUUCCUCGUUACUGCCACAUGACCAGUUAACAAUUGCCAUAUAAGAUGACAUAUGUUCUUGGGCGCCUUUAAUUUCCAAGCAAAGGCUUGAAGCUUAGUGAUACUUGGCUCCAGAACUUCCUUUUCAUCUUCUGUCGUUAAUAAAUUCUGAGCCACCCAGUAACCAGAUUUAACUGUGUAUUGUCCGUUCUUUGUGUAGUUCCAGCAGAACGUAUCACGACGAUGAGUUGAGCUUACGGCCAAACUUCUUAUAAGUGGUAUAUCAUCAGGAUUGACAUAUUGUCUCAAGAGGUUAACUUCCCAAUCCAUCGCUACCUGAUUGAUAAGAUCGCUGACUCUCAUAUUAGGAUUCAUAAUGGGCGCUAUAGGAAUGGCUGGUCUCGCAGGGGUCGUAGGGAUCCACGGAUCCUCCCAUACCUUGACUUCAUAGCCUGAAUGAAUCUUCUGCCUUAUACCCAAUAGUAGCAAUUUCCUUGCAGCAGAAAUACUAGUCCACUAAUAGGUGUUACUCUUAUUUAGUUAGUUUGUGAGUAUAUCAUAUAUAUAUAUAUAUAUAUAAUAUAAGUAAUUACCAUUUUAUUCAAUUUUGAUUAAUUUCAAAUUGUAAUAAUAUAUCUUUUUGAAGUUACAAAAAAAUAAUAUUCUUUCUUUACUCACUAGCAUUAUAUAUAGAUUUUAUAUACACAAAUAAAUAUAAUAUAACAACAUAAGCUUGCUUUCCCCGAUUCAUAUGAAAACUUUUUAAGUUAUCCACCAAAUCAAAUUAAUUAAAUUAAUCAAAUUGUUAGAAUACAACAAAUUAAUAUAUAAUUUUAUUUUAAAUUAAAUUAUUAAAAAAAUGUGUAUUUUCAUUAAAAACAAAAUAAUAAAUAAGUAAAAUUGAUUUGAUGGUAAUUUUUAUGACAUAUAUAUAUCAAUUCUGUGAAAGAAAUAAAAGCUUAAUAUGGAAAAAAAAUCUUAAAUACAAAAAACUCUAAAAAUUAAUAAAAAACUAAUAAAAAUUAAACAAUGAUAUCACUUGAAAGCUUCUUAGACAAUAUUAAUAAAAUAUUUAAGCGAUAAUUACACAAAUUGAUUUUUUUUGUCAGCCAAAAAUUUAUUAUUAAUUAGCAUCAGUUAUUUCAAGAUGUUUAUGAAAUGAUGGACAAAAAAAAAAUAGGAUGGACAUAAAUGAUAUAUGAACUAUGAAUAUUACUUUGUAAAGCUGACUUAGAUAACACAUCUACACAUCCAUUUCCAAUCAUUUUUUAUGCCUAAAUUCAGUUUCUUCAUAGCAGUUAUUCCACAAAGAGAUCGUAUGAGAUAUUGUUUUGAUAUUCAGAUUUGUUUUUUGACUGUUAAGAAAAUUGAUAACUGUAAAAAUGUCUCCUUCGAAUAUGAUAUGUCUAUAAUCGAGUCUCCAACAUGAGACAAGUUUAUUUAAAAAGUAAAUAAUUUCAUUUUUCUUAUAUUAUAUAAUAAAUAUAUAUUAUUUACUUAUAAUAAAAAUAUAGUCAUUCAUCUAUCACCUCCUUCGAAUAUGAUAUGUCUAUAACCGAGUCCCCAACAUGAGACAAGUUUGGUUAAAAAGAAAAUAAUGUCAUUUUUUUAUAUUAUAUAAUAAAUAUAUAUUAUUUACUGAUAAUAAAAAUAUAGUUAUUCAUCUAUCACAAAUAUCUAUGCAAAUAUGUGAAUCAAAUACAACAAUCAAACAACAUAAUAAUUUCUACAAAGAAAAUUUAAAAAAUAUAUUUAUGUUAUGUAGUCUUAUUUUAUAUUUGUUAAAUAAUAUAAUACAAUAUUAUACAUUAUUUUUUAGAAUUGAGAAAUACAUAUAAAAUCUUAUUCGUGCUUAGCUCGGUUAAAAAAUCUAGUUUAGUUAUAAAAAGUGUGAGAGAAGUGAUAUGUGACUUAUGAAAUUAUAAACUCCAAAAGUGACACAUAAUAAUAUAUAGGUUGGUUUAAUCCAUAAUCUAUAUAAACUUAAAACCAUUUGAAUAUGGUUUGGUUUUGGUUGAUUUACCUGUGUUAACACUCCUAGAUGAAGCCAACAUGAUGGAUGCACAUGAACUUACUAUUUUCAGUUUUCAUUAUUUUGUAAGGUAAAAUGAAAAAAAAGGUUAUUAGAAACUUUUGUUAUUGAACCCACUAAUUCAUUAUAUAUAGUUUAUGCACCAAGCAAAUUUUGUAUCUAGCUUUGCCCCUGAAUAGACAUUAACCAAUUUUGUAUAUCUAUGUCACCGGUCUGGUUAAAGAAAUUAUUAAAAGAUUUCGAGGACCUCAACAACUCUCUUUCUUUUUACAGACUAAUGGUAAAUUAACCACUCUAAUUUUUAAAUAAUUAUUUACAACCAAAAAGUUUAAAAUAAAUGUAUUAUUUCAAUUUCAUUUUUCUAAAAAUUAUUACACAGUAGUAAUUUACAAGCCUCCAACUUCUUGUUUAAUCAAAUCAAGAGUCUACAGCUUUUGCUCUAAACACUAUCCAUGUUCUAUUGCUCUAUUAGUUUUCUUAUAGAUUAUAACUCAUGAUUGUUGAUAUAAGAAAAUCAAAAGAAAAAAAAAACUGAAAUAUUCAUAGUCUCAAAGAGGUGUUUUUCCUAAGGUUUUAAUUAUAAAACCAAAAGAUGUUAGUAAAAUAUAUUAUAACAAUAUUUUGUUAGAAAAACAUAAAUUAUUUCAGGUUAGUAAAAGGGCCUUAUUUUUUUUUUGAACAGGGUCUCUUUAGAGUUUGAGACGGCCCUACUUAGCUCCUCCAAAAAAGUAACUUGCUAUUUUAUAUUCCUUUUGGGUCCGAAUAACAACAUGAAGAUCAUAUUGAUCAUGCCAUUAAACUUUAGUUUCUAGGAAGCUGUUUCUCUUUGUUUACAUAUUGAAAUGUUCUUUUUUUUAGUAAAAAUAUAAAGAUAUUAUUACCAAUUUUCAAGUUUUUGACAGAAGUACAACGACGACAAAAAACGGAAAAACAAAAUAAAAUCUAAACAACAACUCGAACUAGCCAAAACGAGGACCGACACAACCAAUUGAGCUGCAAGAAUUGGCCUCAGCCAAUCUGCACUUACCACUUGCCGCAAAAGCCGAGCCACAGUUAUAACAAGAGACGGAACCCGGUAAUUUUUGACCUCCCCGAUGAUCCGCUCUUUAAGAUUUGGCUCGAGGAAGAACAGCUCGCCGAAGACAUCAAGAGCAUCCACCAACACUAGCAAAACCAAACCAGAGGCCAGACACACCCGCAAAGCAGACUGAGCAUUAUUCGGACGAACAGCCACAAAGCAGCUACAGGCCAAACAGCUAUACAAAAUGGGCUAUAGACAGCCGCACUCCACAACCACUCACCAGAUCCUCGGAGCGAACCGGAUGAGCCCAUUCACCGGAGGCAGAGCGACGAGCAAACUGACUCCAGUGCUGGGAAAAUGAGCUCACGCCAAUGAGAUCCGAGAGACCACCUGCUCCGUAGACCCCAUAGAGCUGAGAGAAACCCAGACAUGGACAGCCCCUGAGAACCAGGGCGCUGACCGGCUUGCAAACGGAACAAAACUCUAACAGCUAUGAAGACCAGCCGAGAAGGACCUAGAGAACUGGAGGGAGCGCCAAGGCUAGAGGAGGACAACUCGGAAGCAACACGAACAUGGAUUGAAUCGAAGCCAUAGACAACUCCAAAUCGACAGCCAAGUCGCGACCGCGCAUGGCAAACGAGAGCUGCCGGAGACAACACACCUCGAACCUGGAAGACCUCAGACGCGCCAUAGAGGAGAGACCUCACCGUACCGACUGCUCAACAGAAAACAUGAAACCCCAAACGACGAGACGCCUCAGACGAAGGAGAAGGACGCGCCGUCGAGCCACUCCGUCGGGACAACAAAAGAUAGAAACAACCGGAGGAAAGGACAGAUCAGGGUUGGAGGAGUCCCCACCGUAGCCACGCGCCGCCAAACGCAGAGUUUUACCGUAGAUCUAGAUAGAGAAAAUUGACUCCGGACGAAACCCUACCCAAAUAACCGACUUUAACCUCCAGCCGUCGAACACCAGUCUCGCAGCGUCACCAGAGGAACGAGGCGACCGCCGGAGUCGGCCUAGGCUCCUCCGCCGGCGAACGUUCGAGCUCCAGGGAAAGCCGCAUAUCGAAGAGCGACUAAGGGGGAAGAUGAAGCAAAGGAAGACGGAGAGGAAGGGAAGAAGAGACGCCCUACGACGGCGAAGAGGGAAAGUGGCCGCCGGAGGCAAGAUCGGGAAUUUCUUUUUGUGAGGGUUUAGAGAGAGAGCGUGUUUUAGAGAGAGGUUUUCAAUUGUCUUUUUCUUCCUAUUGAAAUAUUUUUUAGAUGACAUUUAUCUCACUACCAAUAGUCUCCAUUUACUCUUCCACAUCACAACGGUGUGCUUGUGCUGAAUAGAUAAUCCAAGCAAUAUAAGUGUUGCUCUUCCUAGCGAAGCAACCACAAAGGCUAUAGUAGCACCAGAGGAGCUAUUUGCCACUAGACUUUUUGAUGACUUCAUUUUUUUUUCUUACAACAAAAAGCUAUUAUAUUUUUUAAACUUAAGGUGGUCUGGGUAACCAGACCGGAAUAAAACAACCAAUAAAAUAACGCUCUCUAUGGAAAGAUCUUCUCGUCCUAGCUAAAGAGUCUGAAAUCUGAUUUUGCGCUCGUGGAAUAUGAGUAAUCUUGAAGUUCGGGAAGCAUAUUUGCAAGGUUUCUAUCCUCUCCAAUUAUGUUGCAAAGCUUGGCCAAGCUUCGGUGUAAUAACCCUCACGAGCAGAUAGAAUUUUGGUCGAGAAAAUUCUUUAAGAUCAGUUUGAAGAUUGAUCGAUCAGAAUUUAAAUAAAAAUCGACACGGUGAAUUAAUCUCUCGACGGGGCUGUCUUUUGGUCAAAAAACUAUCUCUUGAUGGUUCUGGUCGAGUGUUAAUUAAUAUUGUUGUUUUUUAUUCAUGCUGGACGAGUUUAUUCAGAGCAGGACGAGAUUCGAAUGAUGAAAAAUAUUUAGUCGAAACAGUCCGAAAAAUAUCGACAAAACUCUUAAAAUUAUUUCUGAACAGUCACAUGUCUUGCACCUUCUAGCCUACUUGCUUCCUCAGUAAUUAGGUCACAUGACAUGCACCUACUUUCUUACCUACUUGCUCAUUAGAAGUCACAUGCUGGUCAAAAGCUGUUGCUUCCGCUGCUUGUAUCUUUCUUCCAUGAAGAGAAAUGUUCAGCUGUUUGUGCUGCUUGGUUUGCUGAAGCAUGUCACCAGCUGUCUAACCUCAGCUUUGUCUUUUGUGGGAGAAAACCCUCAUCUGAAGCAACUCCUUAUGAUAUAAAAUACCCUCUUCUCUCCUCUGGACGUCCUGAAACAGAUAGAAAACCAGAGAAAAGUUCAGAGAGAAAGAGAGAAAGAAGAGAGAAAAAUCUGUUAAAAAAAUUGGUUGAAAGAUUCAGAAAAAAUCAGGGGAGAGAAGUGAGAUUGGACGAUCCUUUCUCACCAUCUUGUGACUUUAAUCAGUGAGUAUUGGUGUGGUAAAGAGUUGGAGAUUUGGUGUCCUGAAGUUGAGAAUCACCCAUGUUCUUCAGCCUUUGAUUUUAAUCGGUAAAGAUGUAAGGUGUUGGUUGGAUCAGUUUUAUGUGAGCAUUUCUGUUGGAUUGACUGCGGCUCAGCUUUUUUCUGAUUGAGUCCGACCUUUUCUUGAUGUGGUACUGAUUAGGUUUGGUGUGGCUUCAUCUUAAAGUGGAGUAUUAGUUGAGUUCAGACAAUGUUUGAUUUGUACCGGUAAACUGUUUUGCCUUUUGAUCCAGAUCAGUUUAGAUUGUAACCAGCUAGCUGAGUUGUUGUUCUUCCUCUCUGGAUUAAUUUCUUAAUCCCUUGUGUGGAUUUAUAUUAGUUCAGUUCAUGGUCCCCUAGCAUCUAGACAACUUAGCUGAAACGAUUUAUGAUUGAACCGAACUAAAGCUGCCUAGAACUUGCCUUAGUAUAUGUCCUGAAUCUUGAACUGUGGGGUUGAACCGGACUGAUUAACCUUUGUUCCAACCGUUUUGUUAUUGGUACAGAUGGUCAAGGAUAGUGUUCGGAUCAGUCGGAUCCUUGUGGUGAUUUUAAAUCGAAAAUAUUCCAGAAGCCGAGUGUGAUUAGCUUGAGCUCGAGUAUAGUCUUCCUUAGCCAAUCUCAUGGAUUUAAAAGUGAGUAUAGAUAGAUGGUUGAUUAAUACUGAAUGUAGAUGAUUGAUAGGCUUUGUCUCUUGAUCAAUAUUUAACUGGUGAGGUGUUUACUUAGUGUAAACACUUAAUAAAUAUUUAUGAAUGAUCAUAGAUGUUUAUUCCAAACCUAAGUACUUGUUCUCAAGUACUAAUACAUAUGUAUAGUAUUAAAUAUAUGAGUAUAAAUCAUGUGAAGUCUUAUUGUAUACUCACUCUCUCGAAAGUUUCCGCAUUACCGUGAAUUGUUCCUGCGAUACAGAACAAGAUCACGAAGACACGAUGAUGGGGUCGCACCGUGGAGGCCGUGUAACUGCAUGCAGCGUUAGAUGUUCGAUCUUGGAAUAUCUAAUGGAGAUGGUAGUUAUAUUUAUUUUCCCGCUAGGCUCUGUUAGCCUUGGUGGUUUUCCGGGUUUAGUCUAUAUAUAUAUUAUAAGAAUGAGUGAAUGGCGGGUGUCGAGGAGAUGAUGUUUAAGAUAAGAUUCACAUCGAUGGAAUGAUAGGCUUUUUAUAUGUAUUUUUAUUAGUUAUGGAAUAUAUUUCCACUGCAUACAAAUAAAGUUGAUUGCUUGAGAUAUUAUUACUAUACGUUGGGGUGCGGGACUAGGCUCACUGAGUAAACUAGUUACUCAUGACUCAUUUGUGAUGCAGGUAAUCAAUAGACGUGAGACCUUACUCUAGGACGGGAUGGAACAUCAUUAGCCAGCGAUAGUUUUAUUAUCCUAGCAAAGUCAUUUUGAUAUAUCUUAUGUAUAAGAUUUGUAGACCGAAAACCUCGAGGCUAAUUUAUAACAAAUUUUGAAAGAAGCUUUUAAAUGAUAUAGAAAGAAUGUUUUUAAAGUACGGGUUCCAUAUGAUAUUAGUCCUUAUCCGGACGAACUAACUAUCGGGUAUUGCUUUUUCGGGUUGAAAAGCCUAGAGUGAUAUCUGAUAGGAGCGUUGAUGUUCUUUGGUUGUUAACAGUUUUAUCUUUUGUAAAAAUUACAUUAUAUUAAAAUAGAAGUAAUUAAUGAAUUACAUAUUAAAAUUAUGUUUUUUUUGCAAACAUAUUAAAAUUAUGUUGAAUUGGUAAACAAAAUCUAACAAAAUCUUUUUAAAAUUUUAAAUAUUCUUUUAAUUAAUGCACUGAUUAAUUUCGAAAUUAGUAGUAUAAUAUUAUUAUAAAUUAAUUUUUUAAAAUUUUUUAUUAUAAACAAAAUAAUGAAUUUUUUUGCUAAUUUUAUAAAUUUUAUAAGUAUAUUCUACAUUAUAUUAAAAUAGAAGUAAUUAAUGAAUUACAUAUUAAAACUAUGUUUUUUUGCAAACAUAUUAAAAUUAUGUUGACUUGGUAAACCAAUAUAUUUUGAAAAAAAACUUUCAGUAAGAUAAAUAAAUAAAAUAUUAUUCACCAUUUUAAGUGACUAAAAUAUCAUUCAUCUUUUAAAAUGAUUAAUAUUCAUAAAUUAUGUAAUAAUUUUUACAAAAGAUAAAACUGUUAACAUAUGUUAAAUUUUAAUAUUUAGAACUAUAUAUCAUCUAUUUAGUUGUUUUUAAAUCUUCUAUAUUAAAAGAGAAGUACCAUUUUUAUCUAAUACAAAAUAGUCAUACUAGAAGUCUAGGUUCAUAUAUUCAAAUAAUGGUUUUAAUUGUUUACAUUAGUUUAUUUAAUGAAUAACAUUUGUAAAUAAUUAUUGAAGAUUUAGCAAAAUAAUAUCCGCGCAUAGCGCGGAUCCGUAUCUAGUUGAUAUUAAUGUUGUGGUUUCUUUACUUUUUGUGGUAUAGGAACAAUAUAGUCAAUGGAAUCUUGUAGCGUUCCUCCGGGAUUUAGGUUCCAUCCGACGGACGAAGAGCUUGUCGGGUACUAUCUAAGGAAGAAAGUCGCAUCGCAAAAGAUCGAUCUCGAUGUCAUUAGAGACAUCGAUCUCUACAAAAUUGAACCAUGGGAUCUACAAGGUUACUUACAAAACACCAAAAGAUAUUUCCAUUGUUUAAUUUUCGUAUCUCAUAUAUCAUAAUGUUAUCAUCAUGUUACGAGUAUCUAUGAUCUUAUUUAUGAGCUCAGAUUUUAUAUAUUACAGAGCGAUGUCGAAUCGGGUAUGAGGAACAGAAUGAAUGGUACUUUUUUAGUCACAAAGACAAGAAAUAUCCAACGGGGACAAGGACUAAUAGAGCGACCAUGACUGGAUUUUGGAAAGCCACGGGAAGAGACAAAGCUGUUUAUGACAAAACAAAACUGAUUGGGAUGAGGAAAACACUUGUGUUCUACAAAGGACGUGCUCCCAAUGGCCAAAAAUCCGAUUGGAUCAUCAAAAAUCCGAUUGGAUUAUCCAUGAGUACCGGCUCGAGUCAGAUGAGAACGCACCGCCGCAGGUAUUGUAUUAUUAAUAUAAAGCAUUGUCAAUUUGGUGGACCGGCCUCAUUAACCAAGAUUGAUCAAUUUAACAUGAUUACCAAAAAAAAAAAAACCAAGAUUGAUCAUGACAAUUUGUUCUGCUUUGCAUUCAUCUUUUCACCUUUUUAUAUCUCAUACAAAAUUACAUGGGGAUAGUACUUGUGUUUCUACUUUAACGGGGACAGAACACUUUUGUUUUAAUUAGGGUUUCUUGUCUCUUGGGCUCUUUUCUGAGACACAUGCUAACUUUUAGGUGAAACUCUUACACUUUAAUGACAUGUAGAAGUCCAUAAUCCACAAAUUCAAUCAGGAAGAAAAAAAGAAGAAGGUAGAAGUCUCACCUAGACUCAUAUCCAAUUUUUUUUUUCGGAAGUCACUGCAGAAUUUGCAAUUUUCUACUAACCAAAAAUGAAAAAGCUCAAUCUCAUUUCUCUUUUCUUGUCUUUUAAGUCAUUAAUAUCUAAAGUUUCAAUCCUUUAAUUUGUAUAUAUAUAUUUAACAUAUGUUGGUUAGCUAGAAUUUUCCAGUUAAAUAAUCAUUUAUAUAUAUAUAUAUAUAUAUAUAUAUAUAUAUAUAUAUAUAUAUGUAUAUAUUUUUGUUAUUAUUAAUGGCGGUGCGACCUAUCACCAUUCGAAGCUUUUAUCUUAGAGAUCGAGUGUCAUAAUUCUUAAUUAGAUUUUCAUUUCAGUGUAAAUGUAAUAAUGCAAAUAAACAAUAAUCAUAAUUAGGUUUUUAUUGAUUUAUUUUCUUCAAAAUAAAUUUUAUUUUAACUUAUUUUUUAUUUCGAUUAUUUUAGUUAUAAUUUAUUAAAUUGACAGCAAUAUAUUAUCAUAAAUUAUUAUAUACAAAAUAAUAUAAAAUUUUAUAUUUAUAAAUGAAAUAUUACCCGCACGGGUGUGCGGAUUAAAAUCUAGUAAUGGAAUUGAUUUCCACGAUUCAUGUACGUUAAGUUUGCAAAGUAAUAUUGUGGCUUUGACCAUAUCAACAACCAUUAGUAUUCUUUUCUUGGGUUUACAUAUUUAAAUAAAUAUGUAUAAUAUUAUUAUGCAAAAUCUAUAUUAUUAAAAGAGAAGUACCCAUUAAAAAAAUAUCCCUAAGUUUUCUAACUUAUUUACACUUUCAUGCCACUCACAAUUAAAUUAAACUACAUAUUUUAAUGAUUAUCUUUUCCAGUUAAAUUAAUGAGUUUUCUUUAAUCAAAUUUAAACUUAAUGUUAUUAAAUGAAACUACAUAUUUUAAUGCUUGUGUUUUUCAGUUAAAUUAAUGAAUUUUCCUUAAUCAAAUUACAACUUAAUGUCAUUAAAUGAACUUAAAAAUACAUCAUAUUUAACAUAGCUUAUUAUAGACGAGUACGACCCAAUAAUGAACUUGAAUUUUAUUUUUACGAAAACGUGAAUCACUUGACGUAUGUAAUAUUUAAAAUAUACUCCUAUUAACUACUAUAUAACAAAUGCAUAUAACCUUCCAAUACUUUAGUUUGAAAUGAUCAUGCUCAAGUUUUAUAUAGUCAACUUACAUCAUGCACUGAUCGACGUACAAUUUCAAACCACCUAUAGUUUUUGUUUUCCUUAUAGGAUGUAUCAACCAACCAAUCAUCCUAUUGAUUUUCUAAGCUUUAUAAGAACACAAAUCAAUAAAUACAAACCCAAAAUCCAAUAUCUUCUAUUAAUCAAAACAAAAUAUCUUCAAUGUCGUAUCUUUAAUGUACCUAUUAAAUAUAGAAACUGUAACCAUAAUUACGAUAAUUAUAAGAAUAGAUUUGAUUACUACCAAUUGAUCUAUUACUUCGGUAAUUGAUUUGCUUGCAGAAGAGAAAACAAUAAAUUUAAAAUUUAUAAGAAUAUAAAGAUAUAGAGAUUCUAACCGAUUGCCUAUAUUUGCGUAUGAUUUUUGCAUAAUAAGCUUCAAAUUGAACAUUGAAAAAGAUAGAUAGAUUUUAACAUGUAUAACUAAUUUAUAAUCUUUUAUGCCAUACUAAGUCAUAAUAUAAUAUUUCUUCAUAUUUUACAUUAAUAACUAUUGUUUUUAUAUAUCGUCUACAAAUUUUUAAUUACGUUUGUUUGUUCUAUUUUUUAUAUGAUAUCGAAUAUUCGUCAUAAAUAGAUGGUUUAAGAUGCCAAAAGGUUAUUUACUUGGUGAAUAUAAACAUCAAAUAUUACAUUUUUACUUGGUGAAUAUAAACAUCAAAUUAUUUACUUGGUGAAUAUAAACAUCAAAUAUUAUGAAAUUUAUUACUUGGUGAAUAUAGACAUAAUACAUCAUUUAGUUAAAUAAAUAACCAAAAACAGAAAAUUCAUAUCCGCGCUUGCGCGCGGGUCAGGGUCUAGUAAUAUUUAAAAUAGGUUAAUUGACUUAAUGUCCAAUCAACAAAUUUAAGUUUAUAUUCAACCCAAAUAUCCAAAAUGAUCAAUUUGCUAAAUGUUUUAUAUUUAGCCAAAUUUAAAGCUUUAUAAGUUUUGCACAUCAUUCAUUUUGGACUUCCAUUUCUCAUUCAACACAACUCUGAUUUUGACAAACAAAUACACUAACUCAUAGUGUUCACGGUGACGAUUACAUCGUGCCCAAGUUCCGGUCUUUUCGACAGACGUCUCCGUCGAAAAACCCAUCAGAAAAUUGGUCCACACCACUUUGUCAAAAACGAGUUUUAACGAUCUCCCACAUGAAUAGAAAUGAUUCUAUACACAUGAAAAAAGAAGAAAAAAAAACUUUUGAGAGUACGAGCGAAAAAUCCACUGCAUGAUGAGUUGGUAGCAAUUUUUCAGCCUUGAACCAGUCAUUGUUAAUAGCUAUCGGAUUUACUCGAACAGGAGGUGGCAAUGAUGUCUUGAACCCCCAGACUUUGGUGUAAACCGGGACAAUAGCUAUAACACAACUUCAUUCUCUCACAAAUUAAUUUCUCUACUGUGUUCAUUUUGGCUGUGAACAUUCUUGGUAAUCAUGAGUGAACUUGGAGAAUAUAGCAUUUCCUUCAUUCUGCUAGAAACGGCCCCAUUUCACACUCACAAGGUGAUUUGCCAUUAGUUUUGUUUAGAGGAGUAUCAUGUAUUACUCCAUUCAUAUCUCAAAACAAUGGACACAAAUCAUUAAAAGCUAAUGCUUAUCAUAUAUUCCUUACAUGUAGCACUGUUUAAUCAUCAUAAGAACUGGGUAUAGACCGAAGUCGUACACUGCUUUGGGCAGAUUUAGUUUGACUUAGUUGUCUCCUUGAACCUAUUUCUUGGGAUCUCCAGUCAGUUCAGUAGAGUUACCGCCAAACCUCAUCUUAAUUCACAGGCUACUCAUUCUUUUAGAUGAUAUAACAAUUUGAUCUCAUGACACACCUUUAAUAAAAGGAUCCUAGGUUGUCAUCGUAGUGAACAUAAUCUCUUGAGAUUAGUCGAGAUCAAUUGUCUAAUGAUUUUUGUCAUCUUUUAUUCAAGAUACAAUUAACCAUUAUACACAAAACUCAGUGUAUGACACUAGUUUGUUUUUUUUUUAAUAAAAAAAAAUCAUAUUGUGAUAACUAUCACUAAGUUCAUUUGGCUUCUUGCCAACAACUUUAUAUGGUAGGCAAAGCUUCCCCCUUAUUUCUUGAGAUAACUAAAAAAUAUGCAUAUUUAUUUACAUUUAACAUCUCUUAAGAGUUUAGAAAAUUAAUCUACAACUCAUUUAGAUUUAAAUGUUAAAAUUUUCUUUUUGGUGUAUUUCAUUCUCAGAAAUCAUAUUUUACAAACAACUAUCUUCAUAGUUCUCUUAAGUUGAUUUAUAAAUCCAACUUGUAUGUUUUGGAUUUUUCCAAACACAUAUUUUGUUUUUUAGAAAAUAUACAUAUCAUUACAAGAUAUUAUUUUUGCCAUCAAAACCACACAAUUUUAUAUGAUUAUUCUCGACCAUAUUAACUUUAGAAACUACACAGUUUUAGUCAUAUUAGUCUUAAUUCUCAUUAUUUUUGCAUGUUCAAUCUUUUUACAACUUGCAUUUAAGCAAUAACGAAAUAUAAAUGUUUUGUUCAAUAUCAACAAACAUUUUAUUUUUUAUGGCAAACAGAUUUAUAUGUGGUAGACCUCUCCCAAACUUAAUUUGGGGCAUCGACUCACAAAUCUAUUUUCAUUCAUAUAACAUGAUCUCUUAAGAAUCAAAAUGUUAUUAAUGACUAUGGUUUCACCAUACAUAAAUCUUCAAUAUUUUUCUGCUUUCAUGGAUAUUCCAAAAAGAAAAAACUGAAACCAGAAUUCUAAAGGUUAGACAUUAUUGAUAACAUGCAAGACAAAAAACGUGAAUGCUCUUUGAUAAUUAAAUUAAACCAAUGGCUGAAACCGGUUAAAGGAAAAAAAACACACGCCUUUUAACAAAUAACAUAAACUGAUAAGCUCUAAUGGUAACGGAAAUUUCAGAUCAAACGUCUCUUUUUCUACGAAACUCCAACUAAAUUAUUCUAAAAAACGAAACUCCAUCUAAAUUAUUCUAAAAACGCAGAUAUAGAUUAGAUAACCGAUUAAGUUCUGCAAUAUAGAAAGAUUAAUCAGAAAAUACCAGCGGCACAAAUCCUUGCGGUUAAGACACAAGGACAACAACUAAAGAUCCCAACAACAAUAAUAACUAAAGACGAUUAGAACCAGUAGAACUGAGCAAAGAUAAGCAAAUGUCACGUUGCAGGAGAUAAGCUAAAAAUUCUAUUUUAAAUAAUCCUGCAAAACAGAAGCGUAAGAAUAAAGAUCAAAAAACUUCACACAACACUGAGAAACUACCGGUACCAAACCGUUUUAUGGGAACCUGUUCUGGAUCGUUCAACACCUGUUCUUAACAAAAAAAACUUUUACGAUAAUAAUAAGUUCGGUUAGUGCAAAGCAAUAAACGAAUAUUUUGAGUUAAGACUGAUAGAACCGUAUUAUAUAAACUACGGAGAACUGAAUAUUGUAAAUAAUAAAUUUGAUAAGAUUAAACCAAAGAUUAAGAAAAUGAUGAUACAACUGCAGAUGCGAGAUAUUAUCUCUUUUCUUAACUCAAAAUUCGUCUCGUAGUGCGACGAUUUGAUAACGUAAUAAGUCCCAAGAUACAACUGCAAAAAAUCUUCUGAUUUGCGUCACUUUAUCAGAAGCCUGACGAAACUAGUUUUGUGUAUAUUCACGUACUCAAAAGAGAAUAUCAAAGAGAGAGGAAAAAAUAUGAAGGAUUGUAAGCUUUUGCUCGGUGUAUUCAAAGUUACACAAGUGUUUCCUGUUAAACUUGAAAAUUUCAAGUACACGUUAUGUAAUUUAAUGAGUCCACUAACGUACCAAUUGAAUGUCAUAAUGGAAUUGAUUUCCACGAUUCAUGUACGUUAAGUUUGCAAAGUAAUAUUGUGGCUUUGACCAAAUCAACAACCAUUAAUAUUCUUUUCUUGGGUUUACAUAUUUAAAUAAAUAUGUAUAAUAUUAUUAUGCAAAAUAAUAUUUAAAAUAGGUCUUUUUUUUUUUUUUUUUGACAGCAAAAAGAUUACAGACUCAUAUAGACCCUGUAAACCAAAGUGGUAACUCUGAAUCCAUGUGUACGACGAAAGACGGUUGUUGCCGAGCACUACGUGCCAAACUAUCCGCCCUUGUAUUCUCCGUCCUAGGUACAUGAACAAUAUCUGAGUUGACGAAACUUCUUCUCAACAGCUUAAUAUCUUCCAGGUAGCUUUCAAAUGCUGGCCAUUCUUCUGGUUCUGAAACCAUCUUCACCAAUUGAGAACAAUCCGUUGCAAACGUAACCUGAAACUGUCUUAAGUUUCUCAUGCAUUCCAUUGCCCAAAUUAAUGCCUCCAUCUCCGAAUGAAGCGGUGAAAGACAAGCCCUUACAUUCCUUGCUCCUAGUAAACCAUCAAACCCUGAUAAUGUACUGAGCCAACCUUGUCCUGAAAAUAGGUCGUUAUCUUUCCAAGAACCAUCUGUGAAACACCAUCUUCCUGUGGUUCCUACGUUAGGCCUAACUUGUACUUCUUGUGCACACCUGUUGUUACUAACCUGUGCCUCAGCCCAAAGUGUUGAUUCUAGUUCUGCUAAUCGAAGUGUUUCCCUGGGAUCAAUAUCAAGAUUACUGAAUACUUUAUUGUUUCGACCCUUCCAAAUGUACCAUAGUAUCCAUGCAAACUGAUGAUCCUCCAUCUUUGGAUUAACUCUCCAAAAUAGAUGGUCCAUAUUAGCAAAAAGAGAGCCAAUAGGAAAAAUAUUCGGAUUUGAUGGAAUUUUAGAUAGUGCCCAGACUUGACGAGCUGGGGGACAUUCAAAAAACACAUGGUUUAUUGAUUCUUCAGGAUCACCACACCGUGCACAGCACGUAUCUCCUUGUAUUCCUCUUGCCCUUAGAUUUUUCGUUACCGCCAUACAUCCUGAUAUCAACUGCCAUAAAAAAUGCUUUAACUUUGGAGGACACCUCACUUUCCAGCAGAAAGCUUUAAGUAUAUCAACAUUGGGUCCAUAAAAUUCUGGUGGCUUUUCCUUAUCAGGAUAAAUCCUUUCCACUUGGUACCCUGAUUGUACUGUAUAUUUCCCAUUCUUGGUGAAAUGCCAUCCAUUCCUAUCUUCCAUCCGAUUUCUACACAAUGGUAUACUUUCGAUUAUUUUUGCAUCGUGUGGAUCCACCAAAUCCCUAAUUGCCUGUAAAUUCCAUGUGCGGGAUUCCGAAUUAAUGAGAGAAUCCACUGUGAGCUCCGGGUAACUAUUAUGAAGGUUUUUGUUAGCUGGUCUCGGGCGAGUGGAUGGGAGCCAUGGAUCAUUCCAUACUGAAAUAGAUGAUCCUGUUCCCACCCUUUUAAUUAGUCCUUUACAAACCAGAGAUCUAGCAGAAGUAAUACUCCUCCAGCCAUAUGACGGGGAAUAUGAGCGAAUCGGAUCCAGGGGUGAAGCAUUCCUGUAAUACCGUCCUUUAAAAACUCGAGAAAAAAGAGAAUUUGGCUUCUCGAGCAGCCGCCACAGUUGCUUCCCAAGCAUGGCCGUAUUAAAAUCAGUCAAGUCCUUAAAACCUAACCCACCAUUAUCUUUAUGGACACACAAUUUAUCCCAUGAUUUCCAAUGCAUACCUCUUGUACUACCUCCUGGACUCCACCAAAACUGCGCAACAGCACCCGUUAGCUUCUUCACAGUCGUUUUCGGUAACCGAUAUACAGACAUCACAUGGUUUGGCAGAGCCGUAAUCACCGAUUUAAUAAUCACCUCCUUGCCGCCCUUAGUAAAAAAUCUUAAACUCCAUCCAUUAACCCUAUUAUUUAACCGUUCUUGUACGAAUCCAAACACUUGUACCUUAGAACCUCCUAGGCUUUCGGGCAGGCCUAAAUAAGAUCCCAUUCCACCUAAAUUCUGAAUUCCUAAGAUAUCCCUCAAUUCUUGACGACUAUCUUCAUCAAUCUUAUGUCCAAAUUGAAUUGAGGAUUUCUGGAAAUUAAUUUGUUGUCCAGAGACGGUCUCAUAUUCCUUUAGAAUCCUGAGUAUAGUUUGACACUCUUCCUUGUUUGCCUUACAAAAGAACAAACUAUCAUCUGCGAAUAACAAAUGAGAGAUUGCAGGGCAAGCUCUUGCCACUUUCAUACCGGUUAAUUGUUUCAUCCGCUCCGCCUUUUUAAUAUUUGAAAUUAACGCCUCCGUACACAUAAUAAAUAAGUAAGGGGAUAAAGGAUCUCCUUGACGUAAUCCACGCUGGGGAAUAAUUACACCUCGUGGCUGCCCAUUGAGAAGCACCCUAUAUUGAACCGAAGAGACACACUCUCGCAUUAAUUUAAUCCAAUGAGGAUCAAAACCCAUUUUUUGAAGGAGAGCCGCAAUAAAAUUCCACUCUAUCCGAUCAUAUGCCUUACUCAUAUCUGUUUUUAUUGCCAUAAACUUAUUUUGACAAGACUUAUUGGCUCUCAAACCAUGAAACAUUUCCUGCGCGAUAAGAAUAUUAUCUGAAAUUAACCUUCCUGUCACAAAAGCCGAUUGUGUCUCUGAGAUUAGUCUGGGAAGACAACUUUUCAGCCUUUGACACAAAACCUUCGAAAUUAUUUUAUAGCCCACAUUACAAAGACUUAUUGGUCUCAGUUCCGUCAUCCUUGUCGGUCUCUCCACUUUUGGUAUCAUACAAAUAUUAGUUAUAUUCAGCCUUGGAUCCAAAUCACCUGAUCUCAAAAAAUUAUUCACCAGCUCGACCACAUCCUUUUUAAUAACAUGCCAGGAAUGCUGAAAAAAAAGAGCUGUCAUUCCAUCCGGACCUGGCGCUUUCUCCGGAUGCAUCAUAAAUAAAGCUUGUCUCACUUCUUCCUCUGUUGCUAACUUCAAUAGCCUUUGAUUCAUCUGAGGAGAAAUUGAUGGUCCUAUCUCCUCCAAGAAACUAUCAAACUCCGUAGGAUUAGUAGAAUUAAACAAACCAUCAAAAUAAUCUACCGCCACCUUCUCAACACCGUUCUCAUCUGUGAUCCAAUUACCCGCAUCAUCAUAGAGGCCCACUAUUUUAUUUCGGAUCCGCCGUUGUUUUGUUAAAGCAUGAUAAAACUUAGUAUUCAAAUCCCCGGAUGAGUACCACAUAUUUCGACUUUUCUGAUGCCAAUACUCCUCCUCAUCCUUAUAGGCCUCCUGUAAUUUCCUGGAAAUCUCAAUAAUAUCCUCUUGGGAUCUAUUGUUAUCUGUUUGUACAUCUUCCAAAGCUUGUUGAAGAUUCUGAAUUUUUUCCUUCCCAUAAGGUUGAUUGUCUUUCCGCCAUGAAGAUAUUUCAUGUCGACAAUUAUUAAUUUUGGUAAUAAAAUCCCCUGGUUGGCCCUCCUGAUUUUCUGUCCAACCCGACACAAUUGAUUCCAUAAGCCCCUCCUGACCUAUCCACCGCUUAUCAAACCUGAACUGACCUCUUUUUUUCCUUGAUAAUUUAUCUUCCAGAAAAGCGAUCACCGGUCGAUGAUCCGAUCCCACCAUCCUCAAAUAUUCUGUGUAAGAAAAUGGAAAGAGUGUAUGCCAUUCCUCAUUCGCCAAGGCUCUAUCCAGUCGACAUCUAACCGUUACAGCUCCUUUUCCUUUCCCUCUCCGUCCCUGCCAUGACAUUUUAUUACCACGAGCCGGAAAUUCUAAUAGUCCACUAUUCCUUAUCAUAUUGUUGAAAGGGAUAAAGGACGUCGCACACCUUAGAGUUCCCCCAUCUUUUUCGUGAUUCCCGGUAAUUUCGUUUAGAUCUCCUAUAAUAAACCAGGGCUCCGAUCUAGCUAAACCAUAUCGGGUUAACCUUUCCCAUACAUGAUCUCUCAAACUUUGAUCCGGCUCUCCAUAUACAAAAGUAAGGAAUACUUGUUUCCCUUUGGCCAUUGCCUCGACAUCUAUCAUUCUAUUGCUAGAAUAUAAUAUUUUAACUUGGUACUCAUUAUUAUAAAAAAGGGCUAAACCACCACUUCUCCCAAUUGGAUCCACUGUAACCAGACUAUCAUAACCAAAAUGUGAUUGAAACCUUUGUACGAAUCCAAAAUCCUGUUUCGUUUCUGAUAAAAACAUAAAAUCUGGUUUAUGUUUAUGCCAUGUUUCCCGAAGAUAACUUAUUGUCCAAUGACUUCCAAGACCUCUGCAAUUCCAACUUAAUAUUUUCAUAUAUAAACCUGCUUGUAUUGCUCUACCGAGCCGGAAGAUUGGGGUUUAAUGAUACCCAGCAAUCUUAGAAUCUCAAGGUUCCGAAAACCAGUAAAAUUACAAUCAAUUUAAAAUAGGUCAAUUGACAUAAUAUCUAAUCAACAAAUUUAAAUUUAUAUUAAACCCAAAUAUCCAAAAUGAUCAAUUUUCUAAAUGUUUUAUAUUUAAUCAAAUUUAAAACUUUAUAAGCUUUGCAUAUCAUUCAUUUUGGACUUCCAUUUUUCAUUCAACACAACUUUGAUUUUGACCAACAAAUACACUAAUGCAUAGUGUUCACGGUGACGAUUACAUCGUGCCCAAAUUCUGGUCUUUCCGACAGACGUCUCCGUCGAAAAACCCAUCGGAAAAUUGAUCCACACCACUUUGUCAAAAACGAGUUCCAACAUGUUAUGCCUUCCUCUCUGCUUUCUUUACUUCAUUCACCGACAGCAGGUUAGAAACUUCAUUUUUCAGAUAAAAAUAGUUACAAAACAAUCCCAGUUUGAUAUUCUCUUUAUUAAUUAUAUUUUUUAAUUUUCUUUUUUCACUUUUUUCUUUAUUAAGCCGGAGCAUGGACAAACAUUAAAAUAACUAAUGAACUCAAAAGAAUCAUUCCCGAACAAUUUGCUCGGUCCAUCUGCGAGGAAGAACAUAAUUGACUAAUUGUGUUGCUCCCAAAGAAAAAGUCAGAAUAUGAAUGGAAUACAAGAACUAUUUGCUCGCAUGAUGCUCUGGCCCUAAAAGGUUUUCGUUUAUUACAUAAUUGAAUAAAAAUUUCUCCCAUUGAAAAUUACAAUGAUAAAAAGGCAGUGGAUCAGUGGAUAUAAUUGGUUUGUAAGAAGCUUUUGAAGUACAGAUACGACACUGACUCUCAGGUGACUAUCUCAACCUAUAUAUAUUGGCUAUAUGAUUUUAAAGCAGAUUUUAGAAUCAAGUGUUAUUCAAUGUUAAUGAUUUGUUUGAGGAUUUGAUUUUGAUUUUGAUUUGAGUGGAUUUAUGAGUAUUUUAAGAGUAAAAUACAAGGGAGCAAAUAUCAAGUUAAACCAUGUUAUUUUGAUUGGAUUUGCAUUAUUGGGUUUUUUCCAUUUUCUUAUAUUUUGUGUGUGUCCUAAUACACGUGGUUGAUAUAAACCUCAUUAUAAUGUUUUUUGUUCAUGUUCAGAAUUUGCAUCAGGGGCAUGUCUUGCACACAAACUUAUUGUAAAAUACAUACAAAUCAAAUAAAUGAAACAAGAAUAUUAUACUUUAUCGAACUUAGGAAUGUGUUCGUGCUUCUUUUGAUAGGUUCUUAAGCUUUUUAGUCAAAUGUAUAUAUUAUCAACAUGAAUUCAGAAUUUCUUGGAGAUCAUGACACUUCAGAAGAAGAAAAUGUAAAUGUCGCAUGCAAGUGAUGCAUGCCCUAUUAUGCAAUGAGAACUUCAAUUGAAAAUCAAUUUCAUUCAUUUAUAACAAUCAACUUAUUUUGAUUUGGAAAUUUAUAUCAUUGAUUUUGAAUCUAUUUGUUUGAUUUUAAAAUAAAGGGAUUUGUCAAUAAUUUAUAAAUCCAAAAAGAAUUUAUAAAUCCACUAAAGUAUUAGAACCACUAACCCCCACUUAACUAUGAAAUUAUUAAAUGCAAUAGCCAGUUUCCUUUGAAUACUGAGUAAAUUAUAAGAAAUUAAGCUAAUUUUCAUAAAAGAGAUUUCAAAGUCGAUGAGAUCUGUUAAUUUCUUAGGAGCUUCUGUGAAGAUUGUAUAUAUAGUAGACUUCUUUUUUUUUUUGCCAUCAAACGGCUAUUCUAUUACUCAAACUUGAGGUGGUCUGGGUAACCAGACCGGAAUAGAACAACCAAUGUAACAUAAAUGUCUAUGAAAAGAAAUAUAUAGUAGACUUAGGUAGGGCAUGUGGACACAAGAAAUAUAUCCGACUAACCUUCGUAUAAAUAUACAAUAUCGUUCAAGAUAAAUGUCUAUAAGUAAUAUGGUAAGUUAUACAAAUUAGAAUGUCACAUUAAACACGUAAUAUAUAGUUUCUUCAAAUAAUAAUCCUUUUGGAAUAUAUACUUUCACAUAUGCCAUAAAGAUAUCGAUUUAUCCCUAAAAGUUAUGAUGUAGUUAUGAUGAUAUAUCUUUGGAAUCAAAUAGGUUUGGACACAAAGACAGUGAGCAAGAUAUUUGUUAUUUAAUACAAAUGAAUUCCGUAUUACCAAAUUCAAAAUUGAACAAAAAUUGUGUAUCACGUGUAUUGAUUUGUUACUCCAACUAAGUUUUCUUUCUAAGGUAAUGAAAAUUGAAUUGACUUCUAAUAAACCGUCCAUAAAUUAUUUGGAUGAGGUCCGGUUUAACAACUGAUUAACCAACUACAUAUACAGUAGAAACCAGUUAUACAGGCUAAUUCAUCAGAAUAAAUCAAAACGAUUGGAACGUAUAUGUUUUAAGCCUUGAUUCUUACAUAUAUAUUUUGACCCAACUUACAUAUAGUGAAACACAUAUAUGUUUUCAUCUUGCAAACAUACAGUUAAAUUGGAUUGGAAUAUAUUUUGCUAUGUACGUGACACUGAAUAAACCCAAUAUAUAUGGUUAUCACCUUUUUUGAGCAUCUACAAUGUCUUAUUAUUAUAAUAGAACAAUGGAGACAACUAUUGAAACUGCCAAGUGAUUUUAAGCUGAUUACAUAUUACAUCUUUACGAUAAUUACUGAACAUGAUCUCUCAGAAGGUGAACUGUGAACAACAAAGCUUUGAUACAUAUGUUUUGUAAAGUGUUUCGCUUUUAUAUACUAGGGGUAUAAUCCCCGCGCAAGCGCGGGGGUCGUUGACAUUUUCAUUGAUCUAUUUAAAAAUAUGUGGGUGAUGCUAUGUUAUGUGUGUUUUUUUGUUUUGGUAACUUUUUUUAAAUAUGAUUGAGGUUUGGUGAUGAAGUAUUGGUAAUUUAUUUUUCUCUUGUUGUUUAAGAUAAUUGUCGUUUUAGCAUAGUAGUAUAUUUAUGUGUUUUAUUUGAUGUUGGUUUAUUUUGGAAUUUCUUUUGUUAUUAAUAUUUUUAAAAUUUUUUAAUGUUAAUUUAAAAACGUAAGAUUAAAAAAAUUGUUUGAGAAUUGCAUACGGGAGUUUUGGUAGAGAAAUAUGUAAUUUUUAAUGGGGAAAUAGUACUCAUUUAUGUAUUGUGUUCUACGUUACAUGGAAACGGAAGCCGAAACGUGGAAGCGGAAUCGUAUGGAAGCGUAGAAGCGGAUUUUUAAAAAAAAAAUAAGAAGCGGUGUUUUUAGGUGUUGAACGAUUGCAGUGCAGUUCAUAUUGUUAUUUGACAUUGUGAAUGUUGAUAGUUAUUAUAUGACUUUCAGAUGGUGUUGUUAACGACUGCGGAACCUAUUUGGCAUUUAAUUUUUUUUUGUAGAAUAGGAAGCAGUUUUGAUUGAAUUACAAUGGAGCAAAUUAAGAUCAGUAUGAAUAUACAAAGGGGCUGUUUAUUUCACCAUUUGUCAUCUCCAUCCAAAUGAUUCAUUUGUAUGAUAUAUUCAGAUGAUCCAUUCAGAUUUUUGUUAUUUGUUCAACCACAUAGUUCAUCUAGAUGAAUCAUCUAAAUGGAUUUUAUGUUUGUUUCUUUAUUUUUAUUUUCAUUCAAAUGAGUUUAGUAAACAAAUUACCAAAAUAUCCUUGUGUUGGUUUAAUCAUAUAUUUGAUAUUAAUUUUAACUAUAAGACAUUUAAUUAUUUAGUUUAAUAUAUUUACAUUAAAAUUAUUUCAAAAUUAACGAAUUUUCUUUUUGCGGUUUGGGCGGAAAAAAAAAGAUUUUUCAGUUUUAGCGAGAAAACACAUUUUUGGUUUUGGCGGGUAAACAAGAUUUUUCGGUUUUGGCGGGAAAAUACAAAUUUUCGGUUUUGGCGAGAAAACACGUUUUUGCGGUUAAGGCGAGAAAACACGUUUUUGCGGUUUUGGCGGAAAAGACGUUUUUGGCGGGAAAACGCAUUUUUUUGCGGUUUUAGAGGGAAACACGUUUUUGCGAUUUUUGCGGGAAAACAAAAUUUUUCGGUUUUGACGAGACAACGAGAUCUUUCGUUAUUGGCGGGAAAAUGCGUUUUUGCGGUUUUGGCGGGAAAACGCAUUUUUUCGGUUUUGGCGAGAAAACAUUUUUUUGCGGUUUUGGCGGAAAAACACGUUUUUGCGGUUUUGGCGGAAAAACGCGUUUUUACGGUUUUGCCGGAAAAUGUGUUUUGGCGGGGAAACACGUUUUUGGCGGGAAAACACAUAUUUGCGUUUUUGCGGUUUUCGCGAGAAAACGAGAUUUUUCGGUUUUGGCAAAAAAUGAGAUUUUUCGGUUUUGGCGGAAAAACGAGAUUUUUCGGUUUUGGCGGAAAAACGAGAUUUUCGGUUUUAGCGGGAAAACACGUUUUUUUUGUUUUGGGGGAAAAUACGUUUUAGCAAUUUUGGCGGAAAAACGUGUUUUUGUGUUUUGGCGGAAAAAUAUGUUUUGUGGUGUUGGUGUGAAAACAUGUUUUUAGUGAUUUUGGCAUGAAAACACGUUUUUCGGUUUUUGCGGAAAAACACGUUUUUGUAAUUUUGACGGGAAAACACGUUUUUGCAAUUUUUGCGGAAAAAUGCGUUUUUGGGGUUUUGGUGUGAAAAAAUAGUUUUUAGGUUUUCGCGGGAAAACGUGUUUUUGUAGUUUUGUUAAUUUUCGUAUGUGACAAAAAUGAUAUUAUGUUUAGAUAGGAAUGUCAAACAGGUUGGACCGUCCCGUCCCGUCCCGCCGCGGGCUCAGCAUCUUGAGGGUCCAGGCGGUCCCGUCCCGCGCGGGCUGCGGUCUAAGAAAGCCGGCCCAGUCUUGUACCGCCUAAUUGCACAGUCCCUUACAAGCCGUCCCGCGGGCUGGACGCGAAAGGAGUGCAGCAAGACGUUUCUCGAUACUGCAGGCUGCUCCAGUGACCACUACAUACCUAAGUGCACAUAAUGAAUGAUAUAUGAACACAUGACCCAUCUACUAUUGAAGCUUAACAAAAUUUUACAUAUAUUUGUCUUGUUUUGUAUUUUUUUUUUCUAUUACAACUUGUGCUUCAUUCACCACAACAAUAUCAACGAAAGAUGGAGAAACAAACAGGCCCAAAGUCCCCUGGCCGUUAAGAUUAAGAGCAAACUAGGUGGCCGGCCCGCACCCUGUGCGGACAUAAACAUAUUCAAAUUAUUAACUAAGUAAUACAUAGUUUUAUAAGUAACGAAUUUUAUAUCAUAAUACCACCGCCUUUGGGAGAAAGCAUCAGGUACAAAAAAAUGUUGGUACUCAAUAAUUUACAUGGACGAGAUGUUUUGCAGGAUCGGAAUGGUGAACCCUUAGAGGUCUGAAAUAUGACCACUUCUCUCAAAUCAUCUCUGAAAAAAUAUAAAACAAAAUCACAAUCAGAAAACCAAAAACAAAUAUGUGUAUAUAUAAGCUUAUAAUUCUAAACAAUAAUAUAAAUCUACAAAUCAAAAAAAGAAAAAUAUUCGCAGCACAAAAAGAUGCUAUUGAAAUGAUUUAGCUGAGAGAUGUUAUCAAAUUGAGUAAAAUUUUUUUACCAGAUUGAGGAACAAAGAUGUUAUCGAAAUGAUAUAUCAAAGAGGUGUACAAUCAAAUCAUAUAUAGCUUCAGUGGAGAAAUCGUCAUAAUAGGGUAUCUGCAUAUAAACCAAAAGAAAAAUCAGCUCUCAUGAAAUAUAAAAGCUUAAUGUUCUAAAAUAAGAAGAAAAAAAAGUUAUAAACGUUAUAUUAUGCCAGCGGAAAAAAUAGUUACAACGAUCAAUAAUAAGCAGUUGUACACAUAAGAUCUCCUAAAUACUCAUUGAUUUUUACAGAAAACAAGCCUACCAAGAUCCUAGACAGGUUUUUGAACAAAAAGACGCAUGACGGAUACAAAACCUAAAAAGUCUUGAUUCAAUUGGUAACCGCUUAUACAGAAAACUGAUGGAUCUACAUGCAAUAUAUUUGAAAGAAAAAACUAAAGAGAAAGAAAAUAAACUUACCGAAAGUUGGAGAGACUCAAUCGGAGAAGAAGUGAGAUGAAAGAUUUUGUUCACAAUUAUUCACUGCUGUCUUUAUAAUGUCUAGGGGACUCUCGAUGAGUCGUGUCUUUUCACAUUACUUAUCGAAAACAUAAAUUAUAAAUAUGUUAACUGUAUUUACCUUUCCAAUUAAUUGUUUUAUAUACCGACUUAAUCAUAUUAUCCGUGUAUGUUUUUAUUAUAAAUAUGAUAAUUAUUUUCUUCCAAAAUAAUCUCGAUAACCUUUAUCUGAAAAAGGUUAUGCAUUAAACUCCUGUUUUUUUAAUAAUUUUCGAUUUUUACUUCCUGUACAAAAAACCCAUUGUUUGCACUACCUUGGGUUUAUAUCUACGAUCUCUUUGCAUGAUUUUUUUUUGAAAAAUGUUUAGUUAAAGAAUCUACAAAUUAAUAUACAAAUAAGUUUUCAUAUUAAAAAAUAUAGUCUAAUACUGUCUAUACAAAAAAACGUCAAAAAAUGGUUAUGCAUUAAACUUCUGUUUUUUUAAUAAUUUUCGAUUUUCACUUCCUGUACAAAGAACCCAUUGGUUGCACUACCUUGGUUUAUAUCUAUGAUCUAUUUGCAUGAUUUUUUUAGAUAAAUGUUUAGUUAAAGAAUCUUCAAAUUAAUAUACAAAGAAGUUUUCAUAUUAAAAAAUAUAGUCUAAUACUGUCUAUAAAAAAAACGUCAAAAAGUAUUUAAUAGUAUAGCAGCUACAAAAUUAUGGGCUUAAAUACUAUUCGGGCAAUAAAUUGGUUUUUAGUUGGGUAUUACAAAUGGGCUGAGAUUGUAUUACUACCAAUAAAAUUCGAAUAAGGGGGAUCAGUUUGAUAAUAAUGUUACGAUUAGUAAAAUUUCGGUUACAUUUUUUGGUUAUUCAGUAUUUCAAAUGGGCUAACUUUGUAUUUAUGCCAAUUUGAGCUUAAUACAAAAUCUAUUGUCAGAACCAACCAAAGAACUCUCUGAAUAAGGAAUUUUACCAAUGUAAUGAUUCUAAAACGUAAGCCCAUUGGCAUAAAUACUAAAUCAAAAUUCUGAGCCAACCAAAGAAAAGGUUGUCUGGUUUAGAUUGGAACAUGAUAAAUUUUUUUUUUUCCAAUUAAAAGCAAAAAACGAAGAUGGUCGGACCAAAUCUAAAACAAAACCAAAGACAAAGAUACUCAGACAAAGUUUUAAAAAAUGAAACAAAAACAAAGCCAUAACACUAUAAAGGACAGAAACUCAUCAAAAAGAGACAGCUCACUCGCCCUUGAGUUUCUUUUGCGAGAGUUUAUUGUUAACAGAGUGUUGAUCCUCAAGGCAACUGUCGUCAUCUUGUUCGCUUUUUCUUUUGGACAAAGGAGUUGCUGUAAAACCACCAGAACCAGAGGAAAUAUCAUCUGCGGACUCCAACAUUAAUACCUGCAAGAAAAGAUUUAAUCGUAUCACUAUUAUGCUCCUAUAACAAUCAAAUUAAUCGCACGUGUAUAUGGAAAAUUACCGGGUUAGAUUUAGGAGGCAAAUCAGCAAAUUCCUCAACCAUUUCACAGUCAUCAGUAGCCAAUCGAACAACAUACUGAGAACUCUUUCCCAGAAUGACGCACAAUUGCUUGAGCAUUAGCAUCAAACAACAGAAAAUUAGCCUCACCGCUAUCGUCCUUGACAUUGGCAAUUAAUUUGAACCUGAACAAAUCCAAAGACAAAACGUCACAGACUAUUUCAAUGACGAUCUACCUAACUGAUAUUUUAGUAUAUCUUACCCGGUCAAUACCUGGAAAUAACAUCACUGUGUUCUUUGUCACACGUAUUGCAGAAGAACAAGGGCCGGUCAUCAGCAUCAACAUUGGUUGUAGGCAUCACUUUUUUGUUAUGGUAUUUGCAACUUAGAUAUUGCCAGCCACGUUCAAUAUCAAUUGUUUCAAUGGUCCCCAGAGUAACAAAAGUGCCAACCUAUUAUUACUCAAUGAGUAUUUUUUAAAAGCGCUGAUAACACAUGGAGUAUACAAAUGUGUAAAAAAUUCAAAAGCGAAGAGUAUAGUCUAUAUACCACAGAGAUAUCAAUGAUCUCUCCGAUGGUUAGCCUCUCAUUAAGAACAAAAAACCUGGCACGAAUAGAAGUAGCAGUACCAACAGACCAUUGGCUACUAUCGUUGUUCGUAAGAGCAAGUGAAUCAUCAGGGAGACUGCCAAAUAAAAUAAUCACACUUUAUGUUAAAACGUUUCAGUGAAAACGAUGUUCAAAAAUCAAAACAAACAUCUAUAUGUAGUGAACUUCUCCAUAGGUUUCCAUCCGGUGAACAUCGGAUACGUACCUUGCUUUGAACUCCUCAAUAAAAUCAAGUGUUGGGUUGAGCAGGAUAUGGGUUGAAUUAUACCCGCUAGAUAUGGAGUAAGCACCUACAAAGUAUAUUAAGCUUAUUAAUAUGUUAUGCUCAGUAACAUUUUACACAAACCGGAAGAAUAUUAUUUACCUUUCCACUCUUUAACAGAACAGAAUCUGAUCACACAAAUAAUCAUGGUGGACAUGUUACUCCUACUGUAAUCGUAUACUUGUUUAGCAUAACUACCCCACAGAGUACACAUCAUCUUCACAUUACUGUAUAAUAUAAACUUAAGUUAAAUACAGUUAAUAGAUGUUUUCUUAGCAAAGUAUAAAUAGAUUAAAAAUCUUUCACUUUACUUACUUUACUUUGGGUCACACAACUCAACCAAGAGCCUCAUGUUGUCUUUUCAAAAAUAUAUAAUAUAAGUAAAUACACAAUUUUAAAAAAUGGAAAAAGUACAUUAAGAUUUAAAUAUCUAUUUUAAAAUAUAAAAUAUAGAUAUUACGUAAAUUAAAAUAUAAGAAAUGGAAAUAAACAUUNNNNNNNNNNNNNNNNNNNNNNNNNNNNNNNNNNNNNNNNNNNNNNNNNNNNNNNNNNNNNNNNNNNNNNNNNNNNNNNNNNNNNNNNNNNNNNNNNNNNNNNNNNNNNNNNNNNNNNNNNNNNNNNNNNNNNNNNNNNNNNNNNNNNNNNNNNNNNNNNNNNNNNNNNNNNNNNNNNNNNNNNNNNNNNNNNNNNNNNNNNNNNNNNNNNNNNNNNNNNNNNNNNNNNNNNNNNNNNNNNNNNNNNNNNNNNNNNNNNNNNNNNNNNNNNNNNNNNNNNNNNNNNNNNNNNNNNNNNNNNNNNNNNNNNNNNNNNNNNNNNNNNNNNNNNNNNNNNNNNNNNNNNNNNNNNNNNNNNNNNNNNNNNNNNNNNNNNNNNNNNNNNNNNNNNNNNNNNNNNNNNNNNNNNNNNNNNNNNNNNNNNNNNNNNNNNNNNNNNNNNNNNNNNNNNNNNNNNNNNNNNNNNNNNNNNNNNNNNNNNNNNNNNNNNNNNNNNNNNNNNNNNNNNNNNNNNNNNNNNNNNNNNNNNNNNNNNNNNNNNNNNNNNNNNNNNNNNNNNNNNNNNNNNNNNNNNNNNNNNNNNNNNNNNNNNNNNNNNNNNNNNNNNNNNNNNNNNNNNNNNNNNNNNNNNNNNNNNNNNNNNNNNNNNNNNNNNNNNNNNNNNNNNNNNNNNNNNNNNNNNNNNNNNNNNNNNNNNNNNNNNNNNNNNNNNNNNNNNNNNNNNNNNNNNNNNNNNNNNNNNNNNNNNNNNNNNNNNNNNNNNNNNNNNNNNNNNNNNNNNNNNNNNNNNNNNNNNNNNNNNNNNNNNNNNNNNNNNNNNNNNNNNNNNNNNNNNNNNNNNNNNNNNNNNNNNNNNNNNNNNNNNNNNNNNNNAACUCAUCAAAAAGAGACAGCUCACUCGCCCUUGAGUUUCUUUUGAGAGAGUUUCUUGUUAACAGAGUGUUGAUCCUCAAGGCAACUGUCGUCAUCUUGUUCGCUUUUUCUUUUGGACAAAGGAGUUGCUAUAAAACCACCAGAACCAGAGGAAAUAUCAUCUGCGGACUCCAACAUUAGUACCUGCAAGAAAAGAUUUAAUCGUAUCACUAUUAUGCUCCUAUAACAAUCAAAUUAAUCGCAGGUAUAAGCGGAAAAUUACCGGGUUAGAUUUAGGAGGCAAAUCAGCAAAUUCCUCAACCAUUUCACGGUCAUCAGUAGCCAAUCGAACAACAUACUGAGAACUCUUUCCUUUGAUGUUAUCAGCGUCAACUGAAAUCUCAAAAAGGACUCUCUUACCAAAGAGAUCGCUCACUGCUUCAGGUAAGAAGUCUUCAUCUUCAUUCUACAAUUACAUAGAUAGCGGUGACCCAAUAUAAUUUACUGUGUUAAUUGAUGUACAAUGGAAUUUAAAAAUGUACCUCGUCAUAGAGUUCAGCAGCAGAAUGACGCACAAUUGCUUGAGCAUUAGCAUCAAACAACAGAAAAUUAGCCUCACCGCUAUCGUCCUUGACAUUGGCAAUUAAUUUGAACCUGAACAAAUCCAAAGACAAAACGUCACAGACUAUUUCAAUGACGAUCUACCUAACUGAUAUUUUUGUAUAUCUAACCCGAUCAAUACCUGGAAAUAACAUCACUGUGUUCUUUGUCACACGUAUUGCAGAAGAACAAGGGCCGGUCAUCAGCAUCAACAUUGGUUGUAGGCAUCACUUUUUUGUUGUGGUAUUUGCAACUUAGAUAUUGCCAGCCACGUUCAGUAUCAAUUGUUUCAAUGGUCCCCAGAGUAACAAAAGUGCCAACCUAUUAUUACUCAAUGAGUAUUUUUUAAAAGCACUGAUAACACAUGGAGUAUACAAAUGUGUAAAAAAUUCAAAAGCGAAGAGUGUAGUCUAUAUACCACAGAGCUAUCAAUGAUCUCUCCGAUGGUUAGCCUCUCAUUAAGAACAAAAAACCUGGCACGAAUAGAAGUAGCAGUACCAACAGACCAUUGGCUACUAUCGUUGUUCGUAAGAGCAAGUGAAUCAUCAGGGAGACUGCCAAAUAAAAUAAUCACACUUUAUGUUAAAACGUUUCAGUGAAAACGAUGUUCAAAAAUCAAAACAAACAUCUAUAUGUAGUGAACUUCUCCAUAGGUUUCCAUCCGGUGAACAUCGGAUACGUACCUUGCUUUGAACUCCUCAAUAAAAUCGAGUGUUGGGUUGAGCAGGAUAUGGGUUGAAUUAUACCCGCUAGAUAUGGAGUAAGCACCUACAAAGUAUAUUAAGCUUAUUAAUAUGUUAUGCUCAGUAACAUUUUACACAAACCGGAAGAAUAUUAUUUACCUUUCCACUCUUUAACAGAACAGAAUCUGAUCACACAAAUAAUCAUGGUGGACAUGUUACUCCUACUGUAAUCGUAUACUUGUUCAGCAUAACAACCCCACAGAGUACACAUCAUCUUCACAUUACUGUAUAAUAUAAACUUAAGUUAAAUACAGUUAAUAGAUGUUUUCUUAGCAAAGUAUAAAUAAGAUUAAAAAUCUUUCACUUUACUUUGGGUCACGCAACUCAACCAAGAGCCUCAUGUUGUCUUUUCCUUUUAUUAUUUUGUUUUCCAGAGAGCCGAAGUUAACUAUUUGGCCAACCACAUCUACAUACCAAAAAUAAGACUCAAAUCAGAAACAGGUAGUAGUAAAGUGAAAGACUCUUUAACUGAGUAAGAAACUAACUCACCAACCAAACAGCUAUGGUCCAGAUUUCCACCAAGAAUAUCAGAGAAGUCCGCGAAAUACUUUUCGGGAACUGCACUUGGAAAAUCAUCAGCUAUUCCAACAAAUGUUGUGUGAAAGAAGCCAAUUUUGUAAGGAUGUGGCGUCGUACGGUAUUCACCAGUAGCAUCGUACACUUUGAACAACUGGAGGACAAUCGCCUCUCCCUCCCGUAGCUUGUCAUCGAAUUUUUUGAUGAGUUGUUCACCAACUGAAGCAUGAAUUCUUGUCCCCUAGAACAGAAAAAUGAAGUCUUUAUAUACGCAGAAUAAUUAUAUAAACGAUGGUUGAAAAAAAAAACAUAUUUAAAGUUACUUACUUCUUUAUCAACAACCACCAUUUCAAUGGUGUUUCCUGAUUCUUUGUUAUAGUUUCUCCACAAGCGAAGAAUCAUAACUUCUAUACGGGACGUAUCUUUACGUGGUUUUAAUUCUCUCACUAAAGAAACAAUAUUUUUUUUGUCUCGCACCAUUGCCAUUGUUCUUGUGAGAGCUGAAUGUUUGUAUUGAAGUUCCUUUCGGGUAUGUCAUAUAUAUAUUAAGCCGAUUUAUUUAUCAUAUUAAUGACCCCUAAUAAAGAUUGAAAUCGUUUAAAGAAAUAUUUUAAUUGUGUAUUCUCCUAAAUUGAUUUGCAUAUGAUAUGAUUUUAACUUGCGCAAGUAAUAUAAUAAAUACGAAGACAACUUCCACAAGUAAUUGAUUAGACUAAUAAGGAAAGUUAGUAAUAGGCAAAUCUUGCGCAAGAUGGGCUUAAUAUCUAUCUAGUGAUCUAAUUAUAUGGGCUUAAUAUCUCAUAAUUAAGAAAACCAAAAUUGAAAAUCAGAAAACCAAAGGACCGGAACCAGAAAGGAAUGAAACCGACUGAACAAACGGAUUUGCAUAUGCUUUAUGGAGAAGAGAAGGUUUACCUUAUCUCUGACAGUAUUAUCCCAUUAAGAUCUUAAUCAUUCUGCAAUUAGCAAUGCAACAGGCCAUUGGAAUUGUUUUGUAAAGCUCAAAAUAGUGCUAAUGAAACAAAAAAACAAACUUUAAAAUCAAUCAAUUAGAUACAAAAGAUUCAAAAUGUAAAUAAGCAAAAUGUAAUCAAUUAAGAAACAUAUGUCGAUUGGAAUCAGUGUUAUCCAACAAUCUUUGUAUCAUAGCUUAAAAGUCGAAUCCAAUCAAAGGUAUCAAAAAACGUUCGCAUCAUAUCUUAAAAGUCGAAUCUAAUCAGAGAACAAAAAAAAAAUUAAAAUUCGGAGAGACUCGAUAAACUUCACCUCGUCUGGUUGUCGAUGCAAUUAGCGAUGGAUAGGAUUGAGCCUUUGUGUUAUGAAGAACAAAACUCAUCUGGUCGGACUGUCUUCAUCAGAUUGAAACCAUCUCCCCCUUCAUUUUGACACGCGAUUGGAAAAAAAAAAGAAGAAAAAACUUCAGCAAAAACGGCUGCGUUUUUAAUGACGCGGAAGGAAUGAAAAAAUAAAUCAGAAAGAAAAAUUACAAAAAUUCAACUAAUAGAAUUAUAACGUUUUUUCUGAGAAGCUCCCUAUGAGUGCCACCUCAGCAGAAAUCACUAAAGUGACUUCUCUUUUAAUGUAUAGGGGGAUAUUAAUUUAUCUCGUCAUAGAAAGCUUGAAGAAAAUUUUUACAACAACCCAUAGAGUAAAAUAUGAUACCAAAAGCUUAGUUUGUUGCCCUCAAGCUCCUGGAAUCAUUAUGGUAGAUCCUGGAAACCACCGCUAGGCAUCUGUAUAGGUAUGUUGUUAGAUGGAGAUAUUGAGUAGUCAAUGUAAUUAUGAAACAUUACACUGGUGUCGUUGCUGUGUAGAGUUACCUCUUGUAGAAAAAAGGCCAUAUGCAUUUUCCUGGGUUAGUUUGUCAUCUCAUUGUUGACGACAACAAAAGUUGCGUUAUCAUUAUUGUCUGCGACAGCUAGCUCAACACAGAACCUUGAAAGACAAAAUGUCAAAUGUCUAAAGCAUAUAUAUAUAUAUAUAUAUGAAUGUAGUAUCAGGAAAUUAGUCGGUGUAUAUAAUUUGAAGCUGAGAACACCGGUGAUGUUGGAGGAAACACAAAUGUAGCAGGGAAGUGCCCGUUUUAUCCAACUUCCUGUUGCAGCCGGUGCAUGGGACAAAUGACCAUCCAUUUUGUUGGAAGACUCCAACAAUCAUAGCUUUACAGAGGAAAUCUGCUUCAUGUGUUUUAAAGAGAAAAUAAACUUGAUAUUUAGUGCUCGUAUUUUGAAGUUAGGAAUUACAAACAAUAUAUUCAGAAAGAACAAUAUAAAUACUGAAGAUUUAAUUGUAAAAGCCAUCUAAAAAGCCAUAUAUUCAGAAAGAACAAUAUAAUUACAAACUCUAUUCAUUACGUGAAUCAGUAUCAUCAAUCCCAUUAACCGUAGAAGCUCUUUGUGGUUUCAUAAUCUACUUGCCUGGUCCAUUGUGAGUUAAUUAUAACUGCUUCAGACCAUACACAUAAAGCAUAGUACGAUUAUAGCAAACAGAUUCACAGUAGCUUAUGUUUUGGUAGACUGUUUUCCUCUGCCAAUUGCAACACCAAAUUAUCUCUGUAGAAUUAGAAUCCAUAUAAUUGUCUUACGGGACAACUGGAAGCUUGAAGACAAAUAUCUAUGUUUUAAAAGAGAUGAAAAUACUUAAAUAUGAUAUACACAACUGCUCUGCUCCACCGGGAUAUGUAACACCACAUUCGGUCAAACCAUUCCUUUUCCCAACCUCCACAAACAGCCUCUUUCUUUCACACGCUCUCUCUCCUAAUCUCUCCCUCAGUUCAGUAGCAGCCACAACUCCUACUCAACCACCAUCUCCUUCGCCAUUUCCAUCGGAGACGAACUCUCCGACUCCACUCUCCCAUAGCUCGAUCCCACUACGGUGGUCUUAAACAGUCACCAUCGAUUAUAGAAGAGAAACAACAGAUCAGUGGUGAUAGAAAAAAAGAUCUCGUUACCUUUUAUUCACUGUUUUUAUGUUAUGGGAAUCCCAAAAGUGGAGAAGGCGACCGCAACAAACUGAGAAGUGCGACCAAGACAAAGUGAGUCGAACGUUGAGUGGCGGACAUCGGCUUGAGAAACUGGAGCACCAGAGAUCGAAUUUUUGGAGGAGUUGGUAUAACUGCGACGGCCAAGACUGUAUUUGAGAUGAAGGGAUUCUGUGUUCCCCAUGAUGUUAUAAAUAGGAAGGAAGAUACAUUAAUGGUUGACGGAGUUAAGAUGGGGAGACGUAGAGUUUGGAGAAGAUUCACUGCUUCAUUGAAAUCAAAGAGCUUUUUUUUUUGUUUCUCAGAGGAGACUGAGCCGAUUAAAACCCAAAUCUACAUCAAGAUGAAGAUAACGAAAAGAUCUGGUUUGACAUCGAAGAGGACGAUAAUGGAGUAAGGGCUUUCGUGGGAAAAUAUCUUCUCGACCUUAUUGGCCUAGUGUCACAAUUAACAUCAUACUAGAUUUGGAUCC